CUCAUUCUUUUUUAGGUUUUUCCCUUCUUUUUUUUUUUUUUUUUUUUUUGAAUGGUUGGGAUAUCCUUUUACUCUCACAAUUGAUGAUUUUUUUGGAUUGCAUUAACUAACAAGUUCGGUGCAUCAUUAAGGAGAAAAACAAAAUCAAUACACAGGUAACAUAAGUAAUAUCGUACUGAACUAUGCACGUUAAGAGCAACUAUGCUCGCUCUGGAUAUGUAUAUAACAUGAAAUAUUUUCAUACUCAGGAAAGCCAAAAUAUAGAAUUCAGUACACAGAAAAACAACUUGAAAACAGGUUCUGUUCUAAAACCAUGCUAGUCACAACUAAAGCAGACCAGUUGACGGCACAAACUACCGAAAUGAGCUUAAAAAAAACAAGUUCACAUGUAUACGUCUAGCCCAAAAUAGGUCAUCCAGUUUUGCUAAAAUUUUCCCCUGGCAUCUUGAAAAACUAUAACAAUACCCAGGACAUCAAACAACCAAGAGACACUAACCUGAAGUUGAAAUUUGUUUCUUACAUGUUUAAUAUGGUAACUAAAUAAUAUUAUGAUUUUUCCCACAAGGGAAUAACUAGCCUGGCUAACCAAUGCUUGAGCUGAGAAAAAUCAGGCUUCAGCUAAUACCUGUUAAUUGUAGAGCCAAUGUAGUCUCAUUCUUAACCAGCCCCAGCCCCUAUCCCAGUCCCUUUCUAAAAAUUUCUACUUCAGUACCUAAAACGUGAAUAUAAGCACAAGCAUUUUGCAGAGGUUGCAAGGAAACAGAAACAAAAAGUAUUCUCUGGUGCUAGACUUAAGUAGAAAGAUACAAGCUCAACAGAUAGAUUGAAAUUUUAAAACAGAACAUCUCAAGGAGGAGAUAAGUUAAGGGAGGAAUGGCAGUUUGAAUUUGUAAAAUAAUCAAAAAUAAUUAUUACCCGAGCUUCACAAACCCAAAAUUCCAUAUGCACACUCGUGUACAACUAAUUCUAGCAUGCCGAAUUCAAGGUUCACAAGCCAGAAACUAACAGAAACUAACUACGCAGGCGUUUUCCAGUGGCUUAGAAGAGCUAACCACAUGAAUAGAAACAAAACUACAUAUAAAACUGAUCUAUAUAUCCGACAUAUCACAUUUAAAAAUAGUCUAGGAUCAAGUAGCUACCUUCAGCAAUACAAUGGAAGUUUUAGCAAAAGAAAAAGAAUAACCAUCCUUUUCCCACCAUUAAGAAAAUCCAAAAUGCACUUGUGAGGUCAAUCCGCAAAGAAAUUAAAAGAAAUACUUCAAAAAUUAUAGUUCAACAUCAUGGAAAAAUCAUAAAAGUAGUAACAAACCUUCGCUGUGUUUCUAAAUUGAUCAAGACAAAAUUCACUGUUAGAAUAAGAUCUGAGUUCACAUUGUCAUAGCCAUCGUUGAGGACACCAACAGAUGGGCUAGUCAAAAACCGCUUUGGAUUCAAUUCUUCUGAAUAUUUAAAUUGUGAGUUGCAUAUUUGGUACGUUUCAAUUAUGUCCUUUGUCAGUCUUGCCACCAACUGCACAGUUAAAGCUGCAUGUCAGCACAAAGAUUUGCCUUAUAUGAGUCCAUCCAUCCUGCAAGGGUUCUCCUUUUCCUUUUCUUUUGUACUUCUUGGGUGUAAAAGAUAUACAAAAUCAUAUGGAAAACCCAAGCAAGAUCUAUUUCGUAUUUCAUAUUCAGCAAUAUGCCAAUAAAUUUUUACAGUACAAAAUUCAGUGCCAACUCUUUAGUGCGUAAUCUCAUACUUCCUCAAACAGCGAUCACAUUCAGACAUUGAAACAUGAAUGUCGAAAAUAAGACAAGAAUAGACAACAUUAUGCACAAGGCAAAAAAGAGGUAUUCGAUAAUAGAUCAUUAAGUGGCUAGGAGGAGAAUAUCCAUAUUGGUAAGGGCAGUGUCAGGACAGGAUUUAACAACCCAACAGGUGAAUGACAAACAAAUAACCAUCCAUGCCCUCAUCAAGACUCGUAUUGUUCAAGGAGUCUCUGCUCCCUAGUUUAUCUUUUUAAUGGACAUCAUAAAUCAGUCCGAAUUGUAUUAGCUCGAGGCUUGUCAGAGUAGAUAGAGCUUGGGAUCUAAAACCAAUUCAGUAAUCUUACUAUGCUAAUAUAAUAUCAAUACAUUGCAUUCUUCUACUGGGAUGCAAUUUGACCACCUAUUCAGCUUAAGCAUUCAGACAUGGCACAUUAUAGUUACCAAAAUAAGUAAACAUUUCCCAUUCAUGUUCACAGCUUUCUAUGAUGUAUUUGCAAGUAGUGAAGCAUUUACCCUGCACAUGGAGAGUGGAGACAAUAAGGAACAGUCUCUUCUGACCUCUACAUUGCUUAUAUGUUUACAGUUUACAUAUGCUUUCCUUAUGCUAAACAGAAUCACUAAUCAAACCACAACUAAAACCAGCUGAACAUCAGUAAAUCAAUAACAAUUUAAACUCAAACCCAAAUGAAAAGCUCCUGAGCUUUCAACACGUUUCAACAUGCCAAAGAAAUACCUUACAAACUUUUGAACUAAAAAUGAGCAGACAAUUAGAAAAAAGAGAACUUACAGGCCUCCUGACAACAACACGCAGCUUUCUAUCAGCUUCGUUUCUAGUUGAGUAAGGCCAAAAAACCAGCUGCCUCGGCCUCCACCGCAUAGCAGAGCCUUCAUCGGAGCCCGAUUCUGAGGUCCUCGGAGGCUCUCCUUGAUUACUAGGACCAACUUCAUCCAUAGCUAUCCUCCAGAAAGAAUCAACGUUUUCUAACCCCAAAAUUUACCAUCAUCCCCAAUAGCUCCAUUAAAGAAGAAACCACUCAAAAUACCAUAAAAGCAAGAAAAACCCCAAAUUUCAUCAGCAAUCGGAUUGUAGUCAAGAUUGAAACUAGUUAUUUUUCAAAGACCAAUCAGCUAACUCAAAUCCCAUUCCUUUUUUUUUUUACAUUAAUUCUAUUAUUCAAAACCUAAACACAGAAGAAUCAGAAAACUGGAGACCCAGGGUGAUCCAGAUAUGAUAAAAGAACAACCCAAAAUUUGAUUAAAAUAAACAAAGGAUUGAAAUUUUUCAUAUAUUAUAAAUAAAUAAAAAUGCAACAAAACCCCCCACAAAAAGUAGAUUUUAACAAAAUAACCCGAAACUUAGAUUAUAAAGAAGAAAUGCGAGAAAGAAAGAUGGAAAGAUGAAGAAAUAGAUAGAAACAGAGAGUUUCUUUUUUUGGUUCUAAGGACAAAGGCACCGUGCUUCUUCCUUUCUACCUCCCAAUAGGAGUUUUUUUUUUUUUUUUUGCCUUUUUAGAUUUUUCUUUGAUGACUGGCGUUGAAACACUGUACAGUGGCAUUUCCCUUAUUUAUUUAUUCCAUUCUAUUAUUUCUGUAAAUUUGUUAUUCAUCGAUGUUUCCUUUUAGAUUUUAUCAUUUUAUGUCCUUUUUUUUAUUGGCAGUAAAUGUGUUUGGAAUUUAUUUAUUUAUUUAUUGGAUUUCUUUUUCUUUCUAAAAUUGAAAAUUACUAUUUAUCAAAUAAAAAAGGUUUUUAUUUAUAUUUAAUAUAAAUCUAAAAUUUUAUACAAACACCGAAACUAACAACACAUUUUCAAUUAAUCCAAAAUAAUUUUUAAUAUUUUAUAAAUCUCGGUUUGAUUUUAUUCACACUAGUUUAAUUUUGCACAUUUAAUCCCUACAAUCUAAAGUUAAAAUUUUAACCUUUUUUUUAUUUUUCAAUUUAAAAUCUUACUUAAAUCAUCAUUUCUAUUAGUAAUUUUGUCAAAAAAUUUUAAUUAACAUGUAUAUAUUAUGUUAAUUAUGUCACGUCAAAAUUAAAAUUAAAAAUUUUUAAUAAAAAAUAUUUAGUAUAAAUGAUUAAAUUGAUAUUUUAAAUAUAAUAAUUAAAUCUCAAAUUUUAUCUAAACAUUUCAACUUUUUUUAUUUAUUACUUUGGUUUUUUUUAUUUAAAUGAAAUCAUUAAGUAAUAAAUGUUAAAUUAGAGUAAAAUAGUGAGAGGGAAAAUUAAGAACAGAAGGUGGUUCAUUGUCUGAAUCCAAUCCAAAAAAUGUUUCAAAACAUUAAUUAAGACAUGUUGAUGAUGUCCUUUUUAAGGUUUUUAUUUUAGUGGUUCAAAAAGAAAAUACAAUUUCUCUCUAUACAUAUGGUAAGUGUUUAGGUUGGAUCAAGAAAUAGGUAGAUUUAUACCUUUAGUCAUUAAACUAAUUUUACUUCCAUUAGAAAUUUAAGGACUUUAAUAGGUAAAAGUAAAAGAUUAAGGGCUUAUUUAAGGUUAAAUUAUUUUAUUAGUCCUCGUACUUUUUGAAAGUUGUGAAUUUAAUCCUCGUACUUUAAAUUGGUUGAUUUUGAAACUUUAGUGUCGACUCAAACGAUAGCAGUAAAUUUUAUUUGGUUAAAUUCAAUUACUAGUCGUGUCCAUAUUCUCCAAUUGGAUCUUCUAAAUCCAUAUACUUUUUCAAAUUUUGAAAUUUCAGUAUUGACGCAAAUGACAAUUAUUAAUCUACCAAUUGGAUUUUUAGUGAGUAAUUUGUGGAAACAACAAGUGGACAUGACAUUACAUAUAUGAUGACAUAUUUGUCACAUCCAAUUUUGGAAAUAACAAAACUUAAUGAAUUUAACAACUAUUGCUUGGUGAGGACUAAAGUUUUAAAAUUUUAAAAAGUACAAGAACUAAAAAAGGCCAAAUUAAAGUUCAAUGACUGAAUCCACAAUAUUAGUAGAGUACAAGGACUAAAAAUAAUCAAAUUAAAUUACAUUGACUAAAUUCACAACUUUCGUAAAGUGCAGGGACUAAUAGCAGAGUUUAAUCCUUAUUUAACUACAAAAAUAGUAGCUUAAGGACUUUUUUUGACAUAUUAGCCCCAAAACGCAUGAUUUGUUUUAAAUUUAACAUAAUAUAACAUUUAGCCUUCAAUGUUUACAUUUUUUGUCAACGUAGCCCUUAUUAUUUUUUUAGCUAAAAUUGACCAUCAACCUUUUUAAAAAAAAUCAAAUCACUUUUUUAACUAAAAAUUAAAAUUUUUAAUGAUGUUGGAGUGACAAUCCACAUGUCUUCAUACUGACAUGACACUAUGUAUCUCAUAUGCCACGCCAAUAAAUAAUUUUAAAAUUAUAAAAAAUUCAAAAAAGUAAUAAUUUAGAAAUUUAAUAUAUAUUUCAUAAAAAAUAAAAAAUUACAAUGAGUACAUGUUUAAAAAUUUAAUGUUCAAUCAAUAUUUCAGUCAAAAAACAAGGUUAAUAGUCAAAUAUGACCCCUUUUUUUUAGGUUGAGGGUUAAAUUAAGCUUUAAAAAAAGAAUAAGGUCCAAAUUGAUAAAUGAUGUAAAUAUUGAGGACUAAAUUUGGCAUUAUACCUUCUAAAUUUUAUGUUUUGGGUUUUGUUAAUGAUGGCCUGCCAAAGCCCAACCAAAGAACCCAUUAAACAGAUUAUUUUGGGCUUAUAUAUGAGUGGGACCUGGGUUUAGCAAUCUUUAUGCCAUAGGGAUUAGUGAAUGACGAGAGAGGUUGAGAUUAAUGGUUCAUUUCUUAAGUGGGCUAAGUUCUAAGUGGCUAAUAUCGUUACUGUUCCAUUACGAGGAACUCCAAGGAUUAAAGGAGGUACACUCCUGUUGUUGGAUGGUGAGGGAAAAUCUAUGUAUCCAAGUCCAACCAUGCUUUAAUGUUUUUCCUGGUUCACUCCUGGGGUGGAGCAAGAUUUUAUAUUCAUUUUAUAUCCUUAUUUAAUAGUGUCAUUUUAUUCCAAUUAUCAGAGAAAAAAGAAUCCAAAAUUCUAGCUCCGUUGGCACGAGGAAGUUGAGAUUGUGAAGAACAUAUGAUUUAAUCCCUUACUCAUUUUAUAAAGACGGGUGAAAAAACAGGAGAGAAUCGGGUGUUAUUGUUUUUAUUUUAACGAGAUAAAUUAAAUACAAAAUCUAAAGUUUAGAAUGGUUAAAAUUUUUUUAGUUUUAAAUUUAUAAUCAGGUAAGUUAUACAAAUAAAUUUUAUAAUGAUGUAAUAUAUAUUUUCAUGACUUGUUAUUUACUUAGUGUGGGUUUGGAUAGGCAAUUGGGUGCAAUGUAGUGCGUUUAACUUACUUUUUGUCCUACGCUACAGUAUCGCCGCCACCGCUGUUUUUACACUAACUGCAGGUAAACGCACCGUCCAUCUAAACUUACCCUUAAUGUGUAAAAACUUUUAAUCCCAAAGUUUACACUAGAAACCCACUUCGUCUAGACAUUUAUUUUGGUUGAAUAUCUGGAAAUGAUGUUUUGUAGGUCCCACACUACACCAAAACAGGCUUUUAGCGGUAUUUUUAGCGGCGUUUGGAUAAAAAACGCCGCUAAAGAUCGAUCAUUAGCGACACUUUAUAAAAAAUGCCGUUGAAAUUUAGAAUUAGCGGCGUUUUCCAAAAAGCGCCGCAAAAAACUAAGCCCAAAGGCGCCGUUUUCAGAGCUUUCGAGGAUUUAGCGGCGUUUUUAAGAAAGCGUCGCUAAUGCUCAGGGCUUUAGCGGCGUUUUUGGGAAAGCGCCGCAAAAAAAACUAAGCCCAACGGCGCCGUUUUGUAAGCUUUCGGAGAUUUAGCGGCGUUUUUAAGAAAGCGCCGCUAAUGCUCAGGGCUUUAGUGGCGUUUUUGGAAAAGCGCCGCAAAAAAACUAUGCCCAAUGGCGCCGUUUCUGAGCUUUCGGGGAUUUAGAGGUGCUUUUAAGAAAGCGCCGCUAAUGCUCAAGGCUUUAGCGGCGUUCUUGGGAAAGCGCCACAAAAAAACUAAGCCCAACGGCGCCGUUUUCUGAGCUUUUGGGGAUUUAGCGACGUUUUUAAGAAAGCGCCGCUAAUGCUCAAGGCUUUAGCGGCGUUUUUGGGAACACGCCACAAAAAAAACUAAGCCCAACGGCGCCGUUUUCUGAGCUUUCGGGAAUUUAGCGGCGUUUGUAAGAAAGCGCCGCUAAUGCUCAGGGAUUUAAAAUAAUUUAAAUUAUUUGUUAAAAAUGGAAAAAUUAAAAUACUAUUAUUUAAAAUAAUUUUAAAGUUUUUUGGAUACAUUAUUGAUUUUUUUAGCUUAUAUAUUAAAUAAUUUCUUAUAUAAUCGUAAAAGAGAUAGUAUUAAUUUUAAAAUAUUGAAUUAAUUAUCACUAUAGUAUAUGGUUUAGAGUUUAAAGAGUAGGCCGGGAUAUGGAUUUAGGGUUUGUGAUUUAAGGUUUAAAGGUUAAGUUCUACGUUUUAGGGGUUAGGGGAUUUAGGGUUAGAGGUUAGGGAUUUAGGGUUUAAGGUUUCAACAGUUAGGUUAGAGUUUAAUUUUAGAUUAAUUAGUUUUAUUAAUUUUUAUAUUAAAUAUGUUCUUAUAUAUUUCUAAAAUAGAUAAUAAUAAAUUUAAUAUAUUGAAAUUAUGAGUAUAUAGUUUAUAUUAUUUAAGAGUUAUAUAAUAGAUAGAUGAUCACUUUAUGCAAGUAGAUUGAUUGGCUAAUUUUGGGUUUAAGCUUAAACCUUAAGUUUUAUAAAUUGAAACUUGUUAAAUGAUACAAUUAAUUAAUACUUGUAUAUUUAAAAACAUUUAAACCUAACCAUUUGAUAUUUUUGAUAUGGAUCGAUAUAUAUAUACACACAGGUAAUUAAUUAUUUAAAUUGGAUAGGACCAAAAUAUAAGAAAAGAUAAAAUAAAAAAAUAUAAAUGAAAUAAAAAACUAAAAUUUAUACAUGUAUCAAAUACUUUUAAAUAUUACUUAAAAUUUUAAUAAUUAUUUACGUAAAAUUUAAAGGUCUUGUUCUUUAGCGGCGUUUGUGGUGGAAGCGCCGCUAAAGGUCAUUGUUGUAGGCCAAUUUUAGCUCAUUUACAUCAAAACCCAAUUUAGCCUUACCUAACCCACUAAAAUUAAACCCAAAACCCAAAAUCUUAACUACCCAAAGCCAAAUUUACAUCAAAACCCCAAUGGCCCAAACCCUAAGCCCAAAUCAAAAUAAAAAAAACCUAGCCCACAACUUAAACUUUUCUCAACUAGCCACUCAUUUUCCACCACCAACUCCACUAGCCACACCUUUUCCAGCACCAACUCCACUAGCCACUCUUUUUCCACCACCAACUCCACUAGCCACACCUUUUCCACCACCAACUCCACUAGCCACUCUUUUUCCACCACCAACUCCACUAGCCACACCUUUUCCACCACCAACUCCACUAGCCACUCUUUUUUCCACCACCAACUCCACUAGCCAUUCUUUUUCCACCACCAACUCCACUAGCCACACCUUUUCAACCACCAACUCCACUAGCCACUCUUUUUCCACCACCAACUCCACUAGCCACACCUUCUCCACCACCACUUGUACCUACAAAUGAAGACAUAAACAAUAAAAAAAUAUAUUUUGUAAAUGGCUAUAUAAGCCUUCUCAUAUUUUGUAUAUGGGGGGGAUUUUUUUUGGAGAGUUUUAGGGGGGAUUUUUUUUUUUUGGAGAGUUUUUGGGAGAGAAAGUUAUUGCAAAGGAUUUUUAGAGAGGUUUCUUUUUAAAGUAAUUAAGGAGAAGAGUUAUUGUGAAGGCUAGUUUUUGGAGAAGCUAGUUUUUUUGAAGAUUAAUCAAAGAUCAAAGCAAAAGAGGUUUCUUUGUCUAUUCUCAUUUUAAGUUCUUUGUUUACUUAUUGUUUUCCUUUCAAUCUUAUUUUGUUUCUUUUAUACGAAAGUAAAAAAAUAAAAGGAGGAAGCUUACCCAUUUUUACCGAAAAAGUUUUUUUGAGGUCCGGCUGCCGUAUACGGUGGCGCCGGCGGCGGUCCGGUGACCGGACGAUGGCCGGCCUUGUGGCCGAAAAUCAUCCACCCUCUCCCUCUCUCUCCUUUUUUGUUAUUAUUAUAUUUAUUAAUAUUAUAUUAUAUAUAUUCUUUUAAUAUAUUAGGUAUAUUUUAAAUUCUAUAUUACGUAUAUAUAUAUUUUAUACUAUUUUAUGCAUAUAUCUUUAAUAUUAUAUUAUUUAUAUAUAUAUAUUUUUACAUGUUAUCUUAUGUAUAUAUCUUAACUAUAUUAUGUAUGUAUUUUUAACACUAUAUUAUGUACAUAUUUUUAAUAUUAUCACGUAUUUAUUUUUUAUAUAUGUACAUAUUGAUGUAGUAUUAUUAAUAGUAUUGAUUUUUAAACAUCAUUAUUAUUUCUAAUAUAUAUAUAUUAUGUACAUUUUUUUAUUUCUAUUUUAUUUUUUAUUUGUCAAUAUUAAUUAUUAUUAUUCUAAUAUUUUGAUAUUUUGAUAUUUUAUAUUUUAUAUAUUUUAUUAUUCACAUCAUUAUUCGCAUUUUUUGACAAUAAUAUUCUUGGAUUUUUUUUUACUAUCAUUUUAAAAACUUUUUACAUUUUAAUUUUAAGAAUAAGGCAAUGUACCGAUUUUAACAUUAAGUCAUUGAUUUCAUCGCUAUGUUGGGUGAAAUUAAUCGGCUCGUGUUAAAAACGGGACGUCCUUCUAAAAAACAAAAAAACUUGCAACUUCUCAUUUCCUUCAAUCGGAUCACACUUAAAUGUCAAAUUGAAUUCGUAUUUUUGAAAAUCAAGACAACAUGUGUUUAAUAAGAUACCAAUUUUGGGCGUCGCGAGGGUGCUAAUACCUUCCUCGCGCGUAACCGACUCCCGAACCCUAAAUUUUCUCUGGAUUUCAACGUAGACCUAAACUUAGCCUUUUAUUUGUUUUAAUAAGAGAUCUAAUAGGUGUCCGAUCACACCUAGGAAAAAGGAUCGGUGGCGACUCCCUGUUUAUUUCAAAAAUCAAACGUCAAAUUUCAAACUUUUUUUCAAUAAAUCGCCACAAUUAGCGACCAAGCUAAGCUAAAAUUUUUACGUCGCUACAGCUGGCGACUCCACUGGGGACAGCCUUUUUGAGAGUCGUGUCUGGAAUUAAACACGUUUUGUCAAAAUUUUCAAAUCUUCUUGUUCAAAGUAAAUAUUUGGUCUUGAUCCGAAAAUCUCGUUUUCAAAAUUCAUGCAUUUGUAUCGUGCUGUAAAUAUUUCUUCUAACUUGCUUAUUUGGUUGUUUUUCAGUUUUCAAUUUUUAUGGUUUUAAUUUUGGUUUAGUUUCUUUAAGUGAAACGUAAAGGUUUAUGAGUUGUUCCCCACACACCGUGCACUUGCAUUUUCGCAUAACAUGAGCUCUCUACCCAGGCUCUGUCCGUUUAAGUGAAAGUAAACACUACGCCUUCGUGAGUUAACUCGUCCCUCCGCACAGGCUAGUGAAUACUUUCGGGUUACAUAUGACUUAUGCUUUCGUGAGUUAACUUGUCCCUCCGCAUAGGCAUAAGUAAAUGUAAUCCCUCGAAUUGAACUCGUGAGCCUGUGAUAGGCUAUGACCGAGGCUCCGUGCUAAUCUCAGCAGAUGAUAGUACGAGCAAUUCGAGUACCUGUCUAGAACCAAAACCGCAUAUAGUGAACCAUACGAGCCACCCAACUAGAGCCAUGCCGAACCUCCGCUCGUUUAGUAGUCACCGAAAUAAGUACACGGGAAAAGCACAUCUUACCUUCUAUUUCUUUUACAUUUGUGCUUUCUAAGCAAGGGAAUCGAGUCCACUGGACCAAGUAGCUUAAUUUGUUAGAUUUUCCAUAGUUUUUCUCUGUUUAUAUGUGUUACGCUAACCAAGGUCGUUUGUCUGUAUUUUUAUUUUUCAUCAUGCAUCGAAGGCAUCUUGUUAGGAAGGUGUUGAUUAGAGAUUGGUUGCCAAAAACGGGUUUCUAAUGGAGGAGUCAAUUAUACGAGUGACCGAAACGUUGUGUAAUACUCAUUUGAUUAAGAAAAUGCCUAAAUAGGGGAUAUCUUGAAAUCAACACCAAUUUUUUUGCAUUCCUUGCAUAACUAAUAUUUUGACAUUCAUGCAUUCAUUCAUGCAUUCAUUCAUACAUUGCAUAUCCCAUACUCGAUCGCUGAAGAUAAAAUAUAUAAUUCGCAUUUGUAAUACCACAAGACUGGAACCACAUCAUCCGUAUAAAACGCGCCGACAAGCUAGAGUAAUGGAGAAUGAAUUCAAUGAGAGAAUUGAAAGGAUGGAAAGGGCUCAAAAGGAAUUACAAGAGCAACUGGCCAAAUCGCAACAAGAGACGAGAGACCUAAUGGUGAGAUCUCGAGAGGAAUCUCUCGAGCAAAGAGAUCAGAUGGCUAAAAUGAUGGAGAUGAUGACAACUUUGGUCAAAGGAAAAAUGCAGAACCCCGAUGUUAUGGAACCUCAAUCAAGAAUUCACCACGAUCAGGAUCCACUCUAUCCCCCGGGAUUCACUCUACCGCCCGCAUAUACAACACAAAGAGGGUAUACUCAAGAGGAACCCACUGGCUUGGAACAUCGACCUAUGCCACCUACUCCACCCACUAAUUUAGGGCAAGGAAUAUUCGCGUCGAAUCUAGGGGCUAGUCCUGCUGAUCCACUAGUUCCAGAUCUGGAUGACCCAGCAGAGGUAGUCAAGUUGAAAUUGGAUAACCAUGACGCAAAAUAUAGGAGUCUAGAGGAAAGACUCAAAGCAAUAGAAGGCACUGAAGUCUUCUCCGCACUAGGUGCCAAGGAACUCAGUUUGGUACCUGAUCUAAUUUUGCCCCCGAAGUUCAAAGUGCCUGAUUUUGAGAAGUAUGAUGGGACAAGGUGCCCAAAAGCACAUCUCAUUAUGUUCUGUCGGAAAAUGACCGGUUAUGUGAACGAGGAUAAACUACUCAUGCAUUGCUUUCAAGAUAGUCUAACAGGGUCAGCUCUUCGGUGGUACAAUCAACUUAGUAGAGAAAAGAUUCGAUCCUGGAAGGACUUGGCGUCAGCAUUUUGCGAGCAGUACAAGCAUGUAUCGGAUAUGGUGCCAGACCGUAUGACCUUGCAAAUGAUGGAGAAAAAGCCAUCAGAGACUUUUAGACAGUAUGCGCAGAGAUGGAGAGACGUCUCAGCUCAAGUGGAACCCCCAUUAACAAAAACGGAGAUAACCGUUCUCUUUAUCAAUACUUUAAAGGCGCCGUUUUAUGACAAAUUAGUGGGAAGUGCCACGAAAGAGUUUGCGGAUAUUGUAAUAUCUGGUGAACUCAUAGAGAAUGCCGUCAAGAGCGGUAGAAUGGAAGGAUCAGAAGGCUUAAGAAAAGUAGCACCCUUAAGGAAGAAAGAGCCAAAAGCCCACAUGGUGGGAACUGGGAGUCGUUACAUUCUCAAUUCGUAUCCUAACCAACCCCGACCUCGAAAUUAUCCACCCCCGAAUUUCUAUUAUCCCCCUCAAACCCCUUACUACCAAGCACCACAUCCGUCCUGCCCCGUAUACGCCACGAACAACCAAAGACCCGUCACCACUUUCCCACAAAACACGGUACCCGCCCAAAGCCAACCCAGAAACAAACCAAGACCAUCAAGGCAUAAUCCCGAGAGACCGCAAUUUACCCUCAUCCCUGUGUCGUAUGGGGAAUUGUACCAAAAACUUUUAGAAAAAUAGCUAAUUUCUCCUCAUUACAUGGCACCCCUUAAACCUCCAUACCCAAAGUGGUACGAUCCAAACGCUAGUUGUGCAUACCACGCAGGGAACCAAGGGCACUCUACUGAGAACUGUCUCGCUUUCAAAAGGAGAGUUCAAGGACUCAUUGACGCGGGUAUCCUACGAUUCGAUAGUGCUAGUAACGCCACGGGAAACCCGUUCCCUAACCAUACCGAAGAGAAUGUGAGCACAGUGGGGAAAGAGGAUGAAUGGAAGGUCAGAAGAUGUGUAUCAAAAAUAAGGACGCCUCUGCAGAAAAUCUGGGAGGUAUUGGUUAAGAAAGGAUUGCUCUGUCACUCUGAUAGAAUUUUUGGAGAAGAAGGUCAAAGUUUUUACAAUUUUCAUGGGAUUGUUGGGCACGACAUUCAGUCGUGCGAGGACUUUAAAAGGUUACUUCAAGACCGGAUGAAUAAUAAGGAGAUCAAGAUCCUUAACAAGAGGGAAGAUGCCAACGAAAGAGAAGUAUGCGUCUUUGAUAGCCAAUCAUCAAGGCCCCCUUAUAGUGCUGAUCGACCGUUGGUAAUUUAUUACGACACGAUGAGAGAGCCAUUGAAACCACAGAUGGUAAUUGAAGUACCAUCUCCUUUCCCAUAUAAGGACAACAAAACAGUACCGUGGAGAUAUGAUGUUAAUAUCAUUACACCGGAAGUUGAAAAGUCCAAAGCCAUAACUGAAGAUGUUGGGGAGGUAGGUCAUUUUACUCGAAGUGGACGAUGCUAUUCUAAAGAAGUUGAACCGGUAAAGAAAAGUAGCGACUCGAAGCAAAAAGGGAAAGUAGUGAUGCACGAGGUCGAAGUCGAGUAAGAAAUUCCACCCGUGCAAGAAACUAAAAAGCCUGUGAAUGAGGAAGAAGCUCAAGAAUUCUUGAAAUUUAUUAAGCACAGUGAAUAUAGUGUGGUGGAACAAUUGAGCAAGCAGCCAGCACGAAUCUCAGUUCUAUCUCUACUGUUAAAUUCAGAGCCACACCGGAACGCUUUAUUGAAGGUGUUAAAUCAAGCUUACAUGGCCAACAACAUAGCUGUCGAAAAGCUUGAUAGGUGGGUAAACAAUCUGAAUGCGGACAACUUCAUCUCUUUUAGUGAUGAUGAGAUACCGCUAAAUGGUAGAGGUUCGGUGAAAGCGCUGCAUAUCACGACCCGCUGCAAGGGCUACAUAAUACCGAACGUACUCAUCGAUAAUGGGUCACCGUUAAAUGUUAUGCCAUUGGCUACGCUUUCCAGAAUACCGAUGGAUUUGUCCUACUUAAAGCCCUGUCAUUCCACGGUAAGGGCAUUCGACGGGACGAGGCGCGAAGUCAUGGGAAAGAUCGAAAUCCCUUUAGAAGUGGGCCCUUACAUCUAUGAGGUCGAGUUCCAAGUCAUUGACAUUACACCCUCUUAUAACUGCCUUUUGGGAAGACCCUGGAUCCAUUCUACUGGAGCAGUCCCAUCAUCCCUCCAUCAAAAGUUGAAAUUUAUCAUCGACGGCUGUUUGGUCACAGUCGAGGGAGAAGAAGACAUUGUCGCAUCUAUCUCUGCUGAUGCGCCAUACCUUGAAGUGAGCAAGGACGUAGUGGAAUGCUCCUUCCGAUCCCUUGAAUUCGUCAAUGCCACAUUCUUCACUGAGGGAAACAAAAUUCCCGUGCCUAAAUUGUCGAGAAAUACUAGAAUGGGUGUCAAGUUGACUGUAGGAAGGGGAGCUCGAGUGAGAAGAGGUUUAGGGAGAUAUCUACAAAGAAUAGUCAGGGCUCUAAAACCAGUGCAUCUAAGGCCUAAUACGGUUUGGGGUUCCAGCCGGACAUGCGUCAAAGAAGAAGACAGUGGAAGAAAGAUUAAGAAAGAAGGAUCGCGAGAACCUUAGGCUGAGAACCAGAAUGGGAACCAAUAGAGUACCCUCCUUUGUCAAAAACAUUUACAUCUGCGGGAAUGAUGUACCCUGGACAAGAGGAUCCACGAAACAUGCUGGGAUUAAUUGAAAAAGAUUUUCAGAAUGCUAGUAUAAAUGUCAUUGACAAAGAAGCUGGUGCAAGUAAAGAUGUCUCGAGGAUACGCCAUUGCCCUCCUGGUUUCAUGUUGAACAAUUGGAUUGCUGAGGAGCUUCUUGUAGUUUAUAAGCCUUCAGAGUAAUGCCAAACAUCAACCUUCUAUUGUAUCCUUAGAUAUAAUAGAGUUCUUUUGUAAGAGUUUGCAUUCGCUCUUUAUCAUUUAAAUGAAUUUCAAUGAAGAUGUAUUUUGUCAUGAUUUUUCGCAUUAUCACUAAUUUCAUAAUCAUUUUCUCAUUUCAUAGCCUAUCCUUACAUUUGCCUCAUUGCCAUGACAUAACAUUUUGUUUGUUGUUUCCAAUACUUGGAUGUCCCCCGAUAGCUUCCUUUUCCAUUCAACUUUCAGGUGCUCAGAUAUUGACGACAUGAAUAAGCCCGUUACGAAUCUUGAAAUUGAUUUUGAGAAGGCUGUUUGCUUAGGAGAAUUUGAAGCCGAAGAAAAUGCUGAAGAUUAUGUCUCGUCUCCUGAAUUGUUAAGGAUGGUGGAACAAGAGGAUAAUCAGGUUCUGCCUCAUGAAGAAUCUGUGGAAACAAUAAAUUUGGGCACUGAAGAGAGGAAACAAGAAGUGAAGAUUGGGACUUCUAUUUCAGAAAGUACCAGGCAUAGUUUGAUCACUUUACUCCGCGAAUACAAAGAUGUUUUCGCGUGGUCAUACCAGGACAUGCCAGGGCUAGAUGAAGAUUUAGUGGUCCAUAAGCUCCCAUUAAAGCCAGAAUGCAAGCCCAUCCAGCAAAAAUUAAGACGGAUCAGGCCCGAAAUGCUGUUGAAAAUAAAAGAGGAAGUCAAGAAGCAAUUUGACGCUGGCUUCCUACAAGCCUCCAAAUAUCCAGAAUGGGUGGCUAACAUAGUCCCGGUACCAAAGAAAGAUGGAAAAGUACGAAUGUGCAUGGAUUACCGUGACCUGAAUCGAGCAAACCCAAAAGAUAAUUUUCUCUUGCCACAUAUUGACACGUUGGUGGACAACACAGCAAAAUAUUCAUUGUUUUCUUUCAUGGAUGGAUUCUCGGGGUAUAAUCAGAUCAAGAUGGCCCCUGAGGAUAUGGAGAAAACUACCUUCAUAACAAUGUGGGGAACGUUCUGCUACAAGGUGAUGCCAUUCGGGUUAAAGAAUGCUGGGGCAACAUAUCAGAGGGCUAUGGUGACAUUAUUCCAUGACAUGAUGCAUAAGGAAAUAGAGGUCUACGUCGAUGAUAUGAUUGCUAAAUCUCGAGGAGAAGAAGAACAUGUGAUGAACCUCAAGAAGUUGUUCGAAAGGCUGAGAAAGUUUCAGCUAAAGCUUAAUCCAGCCAAAUGUACAUUCGGGGCUACCUCGGGAAAAUUGUUAGGCUUCAUUGUUAGUGAAAGAGGUAUCGAAGUUGAUCUAGAUAAAAUAAAAGCCAUCCAAGAAUUACCUCCCCCGCGCAUACAAAAGGAAGUCAGGGAUUUUUAGGGAGGUUGAAUUACAUUGCUCGAUUCAUUGCUCAACUUACCAACCAAUGCGACCCAAUUUUUCGACUCCUUCGAAAACAUAACCCGGGAGAAUGGAACGAGGAGUGCCAAGUGGCCUUCGAUAAGAUAAAACGGUAUCUGUCUAAUCCUCCUGUGCUAGUACCACCGACCCCUGGAAAACCCUUAAUUUUGUACCUGACCGUGUUUGAAAACUCAAUGGGUUGCGUACUGGGGCAACAUGAUGAGUCAGGGAGAAAAGAAAAGGCGAUCUACUACCUCAACAAAAAGUUCACUGAAUAUGAGGCAAAAUAUUCGUCCAUUGAGAAAUAUUGUUGCGCUCUGGUUUGGGUAGCUCGGAGACUCAGACAAUAUAUGUUGUAUCACACGACAUGGCUAAUUUCAAAGCUGGACCCAAUAAAAUACAUGAUGGAAUCGCCGGCACUAUCAGAAAGAAUAGCACGAUGGUAGCUCCUCCUUUCGGAAUAUGACAUUGCCUAUGUAAGUCAGAAGUCAAUAAAAGGGAGCGCAAUAGCUGACUUCUUAGCAACUCGAAUGACAGAGGAAUAUGAGCCUUUAAGAUUUGAUUUCCCAGACGAAGACUUAAUGUGCAUCACAAAAAUAGAAUCCGAGUUAUCAAAAGAGAAGUCAUGGAAGAUGUGCUUUGAUGGUGCGUCAAAUGCUUUAGGGCAUGGAAUUGGAGCAAUCCUGGUAUCACCAGAUGGGAAUCAUUAUCCGUUCACUGCAAGACUGAACUUCUUCUGUACCAAUAAUAUCGCAGAAUAUGAGGCCUGUAUCAUGGGGCUUCGUGCAGCUAUCGAACGAAACAUCGAGAUCUUGGAGGUGUACGGGGACUCAGCCCUAGUGAUUUACCAAAUCCGUGGAGAAUGGGAAGUGAGGGACUCAAAAUUGAUUAAGUACAGUGAUUUAGUGGCUGGAUUGAUCAAGGAAUUCAAAGAAAUAACUUUUCAUUACUUCCCACGAGAAGAGAACCAACUGGCUGAUGCCCUAGCCACUUUGGCUUCAAUGUUCAAAGCAAGUAGAGAAGCAGAAAUAAUGCCCCUCAAAAUGAGCAUAUACGAGGUCCCUGCACACUGUUGUAGCAUUGAGAAAGAAGUAGACAGACGGCCUUGGUUCCAUGAUAUCUUAGAAUAUAUCAAGAAUCAAAGGUAUCCCGAACAAGCGAAUGAGAAUGAUAAAAGAACAAUUAGAAGAAUGGCAGCGGGAUUUGUUCUUGAUGGGGAUAUCCUAUAUAAAAGAGGAAAUGAUCAGAUGCUUUUGAGAUGUGUGGAUGAUGUUGAAGCCAGAAAAAUACUUGAAGAGGUCCAUGAGGGAGUUUGCGGAACGCAUGCCAAUGGUUUCAAUAUGGCCAGGAAGAUCAUGAGACUCGGUUAUUAUUGGCUGACAAUGGAAAGUGACUGCAUCAAUUUUGCCAGAAAAUGCCACAAAUGUCAAAUCUACGGCGAUAAAAUUUAUGUAGCCCCUUCACCCCUUCAUGUCAUGACUUCUCUGUGUCCUUUUUCUAUGUGGGGCAUGGAUGUCAUAGGGCCAAUUUCUCCAAAAGCUUCAAAUGGACAUCGAUUCAUUUUUGUGGUUAUUGAUUACUUCACAAAAUGGAUUGAAGCCGCUUCGUUUGCCAAUGUGACGAAGACUGCAGUGUGCAAGUUUUUGAAAAAGGAAAUCAUUUGUCGAUAUGGUUUGCCUGAAAGAAUCAUCUCAGAUAAUGCCACGAAUCUGAACAAUAAGAUGAUGAAAGAAGUGUGUGAGCAGUUCCAAAUAAAGCAUCAUAAUUCCUCGCCCUAUUGCCCAAAGAUGAACGGGGCUGUUGAAGCAGCUAACAAGAACAUUAAGAGGAUUAUUGGGAAAAUGACUGAGACAUAUAAAGAUUGGCACGAGAAACUUCCAUUUACUUUGUUUGCAUAUCGCACAUCUGUGCGAACAUCUACGGGAGCAACUCCUUUCUCUCUAGUCUAUAGAAUAGAAGCUGUGCUACCUAUCGAGGUUGAGAUCCCCUUUCUGCGAGUAUUGAUGGAAUCAAAGUUAGAAGAAGCAGAAUGGGUUCGAGCUCGAUAUGAUCAGUUGAACCUCAUUGAAGAAAAACGUCUAAGGGCAAUUUGUCAUGGGCAAAUGUACCAAAAGAGAAUGAUCGCAGCCCAUGACAAGAAGGUACGACCAAGAGAGUUCCAUGAAGGAGAACUCGUUCUGAGAAAGAUUCUCCCAAUACAAAAAGACCUGCGAGGAAAAUGGGCACCAAAUUUGGAAGGACCAUACGUUGUAAAAAAGGCAUUCUCAGGAGGAGCUUUAAUCCUUACCGAGAUGGAUGGGAAGGAGUUACCGAAUCCGGUGAAUUCAAAUGCGGUGAAGAAAUAUUAUGCUUAAGAUGAAAACCCGAAAAGGGCAUCUUAAAAAAAAGGGAUUAGGGCGAAAACCCGAAAAGGGCGUCUUGAUUAGUACAAAAAGAUUAGGAUGAAAACCCGAGAGGGCGUCCUAAUGAAACAAACCUGGCGGUCGAACGAUAGGUCAAGUAGUGAGACUACAGUAUUUGAAGCACUUCUGAAAUCUUGAAAUUUUCUACGCAAGAAGCCAUGCUCGAAAAGAUUAUUGAUUGAGGAACGUGGAAGAGUUCAUGUGUUGAAUAUCUAGAGCAUUUGUAUCCGUUGAAUACGACUUUUUCUUUCUUUUUGACAUUUUUACUCUCAUUGGUUAACUUUCUUUGUUUGCCACAUUUGAAAUAAAGGAAUAUGAGAUAUCCUUUUUGUCCCUACCUGACCAUUUUCAUGUAUCUCAUUAUGUGUUUAUUUAAUGAUAAAUAGUGAAAUGACAUACUCUAAACAAAAGAAAUGUCAAGCAUUACCCGGAUAAGAAUUUGAUAAGUGCAAGAUCUUCAAAGCAAGAACAAAGUUUAACCAAGGGCAAAAGGGUGAUAUCUGAGAAACGUCGAUUACUCGUAAAGCUCGAAGGCAGGUAUGAGGCCUGAAGAGAAGGUCGAGAAUCAAAGCAAUGAACACAGAUCCUCAGCAAUCGUGGCUAAAUGGACAUACGACAAACAUGCUUAAGGAGCACUGCAUAAUCAUGUAGGCAUAAAAGCAUUUAAGACAAACAUGUGCAUAUCAUGAUAACAUCAUACAUAGCAUAUAUAGGUACUCCAGCAGAGCAAGAAAUCUUGAAUGAGAGUCGCACUGAAUCAAAGGAAAAGACACCCAAGUUCUACCAAAGGACAGGUUUUGGGUAUUUUGAUGUUUUUAAUUCAUGCUUUUCAAGGAAAAUCAACUCAUAUUGCGAGAGAUGAGUUGAGCCUCAAGACACGUUGAGAUACUUUUAAUUUUUGUUUUUCAAAAUCAACUCAUAUUGCUAGAGGUGAGUUGAGCCUCAGGACACGCUGAGGUAAUUUCAAUUUCUGUUUGUCAAAAAUCAACUCAUAUUGCGAGAGGUGAGUUGAGCCUCAAGACACGCUGAGGUAAUCUCAAUUUCUGUUUGUCAAAAAUCAACUCAUAUUGCGAGAGGUGAGUUGAGCCUCGGCUCACAUGCUGAGGUCUUUUCAAUUUCUGUUCGUAAAAAAAAAUCAACUCAUAUUGUGAGAGGUGAGUUGAGCCUCAGGACACGCUGAGGUAUUUUUAAAUUUCUGUUUUUCAAAAAUCAACUCAUAUUGCGAAAGGUGAGUUGAGCCUCGGGACACGCUGAGGUAAUUUCAAUUUCUGUUUGUAAAAAAUUAACUCAUAUUGCGAGAGGUGAGUUGAGCCUCGGCUCACAUGCUGAGGUCUUUUCCAUUUCUGUUCUUCAAUUUCUGUUCGUAAAAAAAAAUCAACUCAUAUUGCGAGAGGUGAGUUGAGCCUCAAGACACGCUGAGGUAUUUUUAAAUUUUUGUUUUUCAAAAAAUCAACUCAUAUUGCUAGAGAUUAGUUGAGCCUCAGGACACGAUGAGGUAAUUUCAAUUUCUGUUUGUCAAGAAUCAACUCAUAUUGCGAGAGGUGGGUUGAACCUUUUAAUUUCUACUUUUUCAAAAUCAGCUCAUAUUGCGAGAGGUGAGUUGAGCCUCAGGUCACGCUGAGGUAUUCUUAAUUUUUGUUGUUUCAAAAAUCAACUCAUAUUGCGAGAAGUGAGUUGAGCCUCGGGGCACGCUGAGGUAUUUUUAGUUUAUGUUUUAAAUUGACUCAUAUUGCGAGAGGUGAGUUAAGCCUUUUAAUUUUUGUUUUUCAAAAUCAACUCAUAUUGCUAGAGGUGAGUUGAGCCUCGGGGCAUGCUGAAGUAUUUUCAAUUUUUUUUGUUUUAAUUUCAACUCAUAUUGUGAGAGGUGAGUUGAGCCUCAGGUCACGCUGAGGUAUUUUCAAUUUCUGUUUUCAAUUUACGUUGUUCAAGAAUCAACUCAUAUUGCGAGAAGUGGGUUGAACCUUUUAAUUUCUAUUUUUUUAAAAUCAGCUCAUAUUGCGAGAGGUGAGUUGAGCCUCGGUUCACAUGCUGAGGUAUUUUCAAUUUUUGUUCGUAAAAAAAAAUCAACUCAUAUUGCGAGAGGUGAGUUGAGCCUCAGGACACGCUGAGGUGGUUUUAAUUUAUGUUCAUAAAAAAUUAGCUCAUAUUGUAAGAGGUGAGUUGAGCCUUGGCUCACACGCUGAGGUAUUUUCAAUUUCUGGUUUUCAAUUUCUGUUUUUAAAAUCAACUCAUAUUGCGAGAGGUGAGUUGAGCCUCAGGACACGCUGAGGUAAUUUCAAUUUCUGUUUGUCAAAAAUCAACUCAUAUUGCGAGAGAUGAGUUGAGCUCGGCUCACAUGCUGAGGUCUUUUCAAUUUCUGUUCUUCAAUUUCUGUUCGUAAAAAAAAUCAACUCAUAUUGCGAGAGGUGAGUUGAGCCUCGGCUCACAUGCUGAGGUCUUUUCAAUUUCUGUUCUUCAAUUUCUGUUCGUAAAAAAAAAUCAACUCAUAUUGCGAGAGGUGAGUUGAGCCUCAGGAUACGCUGAGGUAUUUUUAAAUUUCUGUUUUUCAAAAAUCGACUCAUAUUGCGAGAGGUGAGUUGAGCCUCGGGACACGCUGAGGUAAUUUCAAUUUCUGUUUGUCAAAAAUUAACUCAUAUUGCGAGAGGUGAGUUGAGCCUCGGCUCACAUGCUGAGGUCUUUUCAAUUUCUGUUCUUCAAUUUCUGUUCGUAAAAAAAAAAUCAACUCAUAUUGCGAGAGGUGAGUUGAGCCUCAGGACACGCUGAGGUAUUUUUAAAUUUUUGUUUUUCAAAAAUCAACUCAUAUUGCGAGAGGUGAGUUGAGCCUCGGGACACGCUGAGGUAAUUUCAAUUUCUGUUUGUCAAAAAUUAACUCAUAUUGCGAGAGGUGAGUUGAGCCUCGGCUCACAUGCUGAGGUCUUUUCAAUUUCUGUUCUUCAAUUUCUGUUCGUAAAAAAAUCAACUCAUAUUGCGAGAGGUCAGUUGAGCCUCAGGACACGCUGAGGUAUUUUUAAAUUUCUGUUUUUCAAAAAAAUCAACUCAUAUUGCGAAAGGUGAGUUGAGCCUCGGGACAUGCUGAGGUAAUUUCAAUUUCUGUUUGUCAAAAAUUAACUCAUAUUGCGAGAAGUGAGUUGAGUCUCGGCUCACAUGCUGAGGUCUUUUUAAUUUCUGCUUUUCAAUUUCUGUUUUUUCAAUUUAUAUUUUUCAAAAAUUAACUCAUAUUGCGAGAUGUGAGUUGAGCCUUGGGUUCACAUGUCGAGGUAUUUUCAAAUUUUACUUUUGCGAGAGGUGAGUUGAGCCUUGGCUCACGUGCUGAGCUAUUUUCAAUUUCUGUUUUUAAUGUCUAGUUUUACAGAGUCAAUUCAUAUUGCGAGAAAUGAGUUGAGCUUAGGAUCACAUGCCGAGUAAAGAAUCAAUAUUAGAGCUGAUUGAAGACACCAUAUUUUGUCUCCCUGAAGUUGCAGUGGAGUUAAUCGAGGAUAUCAGAUCUUGCCUUUCUAAAGUGGCAGAAGAGAAGACCCAAAACCUUAUCUCACUGAAGCGAUAGAAGAGCAUAUUGAAUUACAUUGGAACAGAUUGAAGCUACAAGGCAUAUCUCCGAAUUUGCAGUGGAUUGAACCAAAGCUACAAGAUGCGAUGGACUGGAAAAAGACUACCUGGAUGAGAAGAGCACCAAAGAAGUCCAUACUUAGCAAGACCGGGCAAAAUUGGCCUUUCUUUAUAUCUUUGCUCUAUUCUCGUUACACGAUAAUAAGCAAAGAGGGGCAACUGUUGUAGGCCAAUUUUAGCCCAUUUACAUCAAAACCCAAUUUAGCCUUACCUAACCCACUAAAAUUAAACCCAAAACCCAAAAUCUUAACUACCCAAAGCCAAAUUUACAUCAAAACCCCAAUGGCCCAAACCCUAAGCCCAAAUCAAAAUAAAAAAAACCUAGCCCACAACUUAAACUUUUCUCAACUAGCCACUCAUUUUCCACCACCAACUCCACUAGCCACACCUUUUCCAGCACCAACUCCACUAGCCACUCUUUUUCCACCACCAACUCCACUAGCCACACCUUUUCCACCACCAACUCCACUAGCCACUCUUUUUUCCACCACCAACUCCACUAGCCACUCUUUUUCCACCACCAACUCCACUAGCCACACCUUUUCCACCACCAACUCCACUAGCCACUCUUUUUUCCACCACCAACUCCACUAGCCAUUCUUUUUCCACCACCAACUCCACUAGCCACACCUUUUCAACCACCAACUCCACUAGCCACUCUUUUUCCACCACCAACUCCACUAGCCACACCUUCUCCACCACCACUUGUACCUACAAAUGAAGACAUAAACAAUAAAAAAAUAUAUUUUGUAAAUGGCUAUAUAAGCCUUCUCAUAUUUUGUAUAUGGGGGAUUUUUUUUGGAGAGUUUUAGGGGGGAUUUUUUUUUUGGAGAGUUUUUGGGAGAGAAAGUUAUUGUAAAGGAUUUUUAGAGAGGUUUCUUUUUAAAGUAAUUAAGGAGAAGAGUUAUUGUGAAGGCUAGGUUUUGGAGAAGCUAGUUUUUUUGAAGAUUAAUCAAAGAUCAAAGCAAAAGAGGUUUCUUUGUCUAUUCUCAUUUUAAGUUCUUUGUUUACUUAUUGUUUUCCUUUCAAUCUUAUUUUGUUUCUUUUAUACGAAAGUAAAAAAAAUAAAAGGAGGAAGCUUACCCAUUUUUACCGAAAAAGUUUUUUUGAGGUUCGGCUGCCGUGUACGGUGGCGCCGGCGGCGGUCCGGUGACCGGACGAUGGCCGGCCUUGUGGCCGAAAAUCAUCCACCCUCUCCCUCUCUCUCCUUUUUUGUUAUUAUUAUAUUUAUUAAUAUUAUAUUAUAUAUAUUCUUUUAAUAUAUUAGGUAUAUUUUAAAUUCUAUAUUACGUAUAUAUAUAUUUUAUACUAUUUUAUGCAUAUAUCUUUAAUAUUAUAUUAUUUAUAUAUAUAUAUUUUUACAUGUUAUCUUAUGUAUAUAUCUUAACUAUAUUAUGUAUGUAUUUUUAACACUAUAUUAUGUACAUAUUUUUAAUAUUAUCACGUAUUUAUUUUUUAUAUAUGUACAUAUUGAUGUAGUAUUAUUAAUAGUAUUGAUUUUUAAACAUCAUUAUUAUUUCUAAUAUAUAUUAUGUACAUUUUUUUUAUUUCUAUUUUAUUUUUUAUUUGUCAAUAUUAAUUAUUAUUAUUCUAAUAUUUUGAUAUUUUAAUAUUUUAUAUUUUAUAUAUUUUAUUAUUCACAUCAUUAUUCGCAUUUUUUGAUAAUAAUAUUCUUGGAUUUUUUUUUACUAUCAUUUUAAAAACUUUUUACAUUUUAAUUUUAAGAAUAAGGCAAUGUACCGAUUUUAACAUUAAGUCAUUGAUUUCAUCGCUAUGUUGGGUGAAAUUAAUCGGCUCGUGUUAAAAACGGGACGUCCUUCUAAAAAACAAAAAAACUUGCAACUUCUCAUUUCCUUCAAUCGGAUCACACUUAAAUGUCAAAUUGAAUUCGUAUUUUUGAAAAUCAAGACAACAUGUGUUUAAUAAGAUACCAAUUUUGGGCGUCGCGAGGGUGCUAAUACCUUCCUCGCGCGUAACCGACUCCCGAACCCUAAAUUUUCUCUGGAUUUCAACGUAGACCUAAACUUAGCCUUUUAUUUGUUUUAAUAAGAGAUCUAAUAGGUGUCCGAUCACACAUAGGAAAAAGGAUCGGUGGCGACUCCCUGUUUAUUUCAAAAAUCAAACGUCAAAUUUCAAACUUUUUUUCAAUAAAUCGCCACAAUUAGCGACCAAGCUAAGCUAAAAUUUUUACGUCGCUACAGUCAUGAUCUUUAACGGCGAUUGUGGUAGAAGCGCCGCUAAAGGUCUUGUUCUUUAGCGGCGUUUAUUUUUAAAAACACCGCAAACGUUAGUGACGUUGUCAACAGUGGCAUUUUUUGCGGCGCUUCAAAUACUUUUAGCGGCGUUAAAAAGCGCCGCUAAAGGCCUAAAAAAAUGCCGCUAAAAGCCUGUUUUGGUGUAGUGCCAUAAGCCAAUUUGGAUAAGCACUUCCUGUAUUAUUUUGCAAUUGAUAGACAUUAUUUAGGUAAGUAAAUGAUGCUUCCUUAAUCCAAUUUGGAUAAGCCCUUCGACUAUGAUGUUGCCAUUCAUUAGGGUUUGGUUGGCUUAAGUUAAUGUGUAAUUUACUCUUUCUAUAUUAAAACCGAAUCAUUUUAUAUUUGUAUGUUUGAUAUUAUUGUGAAUAAAUAAAAUUAAUAAGGGCCGCUGAUUGAGUCAUAACUUGAUUGGGAUGGAUAUUAUCCUCAAUGCAAGAGGAUGUGGGUUCGAGUACGGUGAAACACGUUAUCCUCUUAUUUAUGAGUUGAGAAUGGGCUAUAAGUAGUUUUAAGCAUUGUCUCAAAAAGAGUAAAGAUGAUCAGAAUUUAUAGUGAGAUUAUUAAAAAAAUGCCGAAUUAAGUUUUAAAUAUAAAUUUCUUGACAUUAAUAAUAAUGAUGUAUUAUUAAAUUAAUUACAAAUUCCAAACUACUAAACAUUCUAAUAGCUCUUCAAUAUAGUAAUUUGUAUUCAUCCCUAAUUCUAUAUUUUGAAUUCUAAUUUAUUACUAACACAAAUUAUAAUAGAUACUGCUUAUAAUGUCAACAAUUCAUUUCAUAUUAAACUUUAUUUUUCACAUAUAUCUUUGAAAACAGAUACAUAUUCUUUUGUUUUAAGUAAAUUAAUUUCAUAUACAACAAUAAAUACAUUAAUAAAAAUAUAUGUACUUUUUUAAAAUCAAUGUAAAAGGUAAUACAAAAAUCCUUAAUAUAUAUUAUAUAUGAAAAUUAUGGUAAAAAUUACGAGAAAUAAAACUAUAACAUUUAAGAAAUAAUUCAUCUAAAAAAAAUAUCAAUAUUUAAAGUUCACAUUUCUACCUUUUAUUUUAUGCAAGUAUAAAAACCUAUAAAUAAAUUCCUAUAGCAAUAAAGAAGUAUAAAUCAAGUCACUAGUAGUUUAAGGUUUUUUAACCUUAUUUUCCUAUUUUAAAUUCUUUUUUUUUUCUUUUUGUACUUUAUAUAUUUUAAUUCUAUUUUGCACAAUUUGUUUUAACACAUUUAUUCUCUAAUUUUUUAUAUUAAGAAUGCAACAAGAGACUUAAAAUUAAUGAAAAACAUAUUGAAGAGCUUGAAACAUGAAGAUUUCAUUGAUUCAACCAAUUAAUGAGUUGAACAAGAUACAAUAUUUAAAUUACAUUAUUUAUGAAAAUGUAUAAUUUUUAAAAUAAAAAAACUAAUUUAACCUUAUAUGUUUUGAUAUCAUGGAUGUAAGUUGUAACUCUCAAAACGCCUAAUGCGUAAAGAGGUAAAUAUAUCGCAAACUGUAAUUUUUAUUUUAAAUAGAUCCCAAACUUUAAAAGAUUUUAAUUAUAUCUCCAAAUUAUAGAGGUUAUAUCAAUAAGGUUCUUCUAUUAUUGAAUCGUUAAUUUAAUUGUUAAGUGAGAUGUGAAGUCUUAUAUGAUAUAGUUUAAAAUUAAAAAACUUAAAGAAAAUUGAAUAUUGUAAAAAUAUUGGUGUUGAUGUCUUCGAAUGUUUCUACAAAAGUUUUAUAUAUCAUUCAUUCACUCUCUCUCUUUUUUUUUCGGUUUUAGUUUCUAUUUAGUUUUAACUUAUAAAGUUAUAUAAUAGCAUUCUACUUUUCUUUCUAAAUUAUGCACAUAAAAUUUGAAAUGUCAUCUAAUGGUUUUAAUAAUAGAAGGACUUGAUUGAUAUGACAUUGAUAGUUUAAGAAUAAAAUUAAUAUGUUUUGAAAUUUAGAAACUAAUUUAAAAUAAAAGUCUAGUACAAUUAACUGCUGCGUAAAUGCUGAAACUGCUGAUUGCUAUAAAUUAAGGUAUAUGUAAGUAAUCCUUAAAUUAAUCUCAAAGUCAUUCGCAUGAUGCAGACUAUGAAUGAAAUUGCAAUAAUAUUGUCGAUGAAAGUAAUUCCAAAUAUGAUUUUUUAUGGCUUUAAUAUAUAAUUUAGUACUUAAAUUUGGGUAUUUGUAUUUGAUAAAAGUUACAUAUUUUGAUACUUAAAUGUAUUAGUGUUAAUUUUUAGAAUUUAAUUUGGGUUUUAGAGUUGACUUAAUGAAAAUUCAUACAUAGCUAAUAAUAUUAUUAGCAAUUAACUUUUAUUAAAUCAACUCUAAAACUCAAAUUAAAUCAUGUCCAUCGGAUUGUAUUUGACAAAUUAAACAUAAAAUUCACAAUAAACACCAAAGUUAUUCCAUUAACAAAAUCGUGAAAAAAUCAAACCUAAUAAUAUCAAAACAGCCUUAAAACCCAAAUUAAAUAUUAAAAGGUAUGAAUAUUUGAGAAAAGAAGAACACAUAUAUUACAAGAUAUGAGCAUGUAUUUGUUUGAGCAACUAUGGAUUGCUGCAAGGGAAAAAAAGUUACCAAAGAUGUAAUAUAAUCCUUAAAGUAAUCCAAAACUCAUUUGCAGGAUGUGGACUAUGAAUGAAUUUACAAUAAUGUUGUGGAUCAGAGUAAAUUCCCAAUAAUUAAGAAUAAUCUUUUCACUUGGUUUUUGAUUGGUUAAUGACUUUUGCCGCACUCCAAGUGUGGUUGUUCACUAUUUUCUUUCCUUUUCUGAUUUUGGGAGUUGAUCGUUGAACUUGCUAUAGUUGGGUGGUUGCUGUCUUCAAAGUGGGGUUGAUUCUAAAGAUGGCGCUUCAAACCAUUUCUCUAUAUUCAACUUUACAUGAUUAAUUUCUCAAUUUCUUUUAUGAAUUUGGAGAAGUUAAAUCUAAUGAGUAGCUGCCACAAUUGAUAUAAGCACGUGAGUGCUAUUGAUCCCUGGUUUCUUGAUGACAUUUUUAAUGAUGGAGAAGAUGAGUGAUUGGUUCAUAAUUUCAUAUUUGGAUUUGAAAUAAUUCCUCCAAUUAUCCUUUCAAAUUUCUAUUGUUGGAAAAUAUGGAUAUCACGUAUAUAAUAAGGGUAAUGACAUAUUAUUUAUUAUCAUGAUAGGUUAGCCCAAAUUAAAAGUAAUCUAAUUUUGUUAAAGUUUUAUUCGGUUUUAAUUAUUAAAUAAAGUAUAGGUCAAAUAUGUGUAGAUACUCUAGUAAUUAAGUUCUAAUCAAUUUCUAAUUAAACGAUGCACUAAUUAGGAAUUAGGGCUAAUGUGUCAAAGUUCUAUAUAUUAGGGUUAUAGUCCUCAAAUUACAUACAAUAUAUCUUUUCUAAUAUCCCAUCCUUAGGAAAGAGAGAGCAAACAUUCUCUGAAUUAAUUGUGUGCUAAUUUGGAAGAUCAAAUUCCAAGAUCCAGAAAAACUUCAAAGAAUUUAUGGAUUCAGGUACGCUUCCGCAUCUAGUUUUAUUCUUGAUGAUUUGACAUGAUAGAUCUUAGUUUACAGUUUUAAUUUUAUAUUAGAUAUUAUUUACGGUUCUAAUUAUAUCCUCAAAUUAUGAUUUUUAUUUUAAAUUAACCCCUAAAUUUCAAAACAUUCUAUUUACAUUUUAAAACUAUCAAUGUUAUAUAUACCAAUCAAUCAAUAAAAUCAUUAAAUGGCAUGCCAAAUAUUAUAUGAAAUAAUUUAAAAUAAAAACUUUAAAGAAAAGUAAAACAUUAUUGUAUAACUUUCAGAAGCAAAAAAUAAAAUAGAAAAAAGAGAGAGUGAUCGAAAGCUUUUGUAAAAGCUUCUAAAACAUCAAAAUUAAGAUUUUACAAUAUUUAUUUUUAUUUAAACUUUUCAUUUUAAACUAUACCACAUAAUAUUUGACAUAUCAUUUAACGGUCAAAUUCAUUAUUUUAAUAAUAGAAGGAUCUUAAUAUCAUAACCUCAAUAAUUUAAGAGUAUAUAUAGAAUCGAGCAUCCACCAAACUAUAUUACUUUGUUAAACUUUCUACAAGACAUAUCCAAGCUUCACCAGGUAUAUACAUACACACUAAGGCUACUUUCAAAUUGCUUUUAAAAAUUGUUUAUAAAAAGUUUAAUUUAAAAUUUAAUUAUUUAGUAUUACUAGUAAAAAAAUACAUCUUAGGUAUAAUGUUGUAAAAUGAAAAUAUACAUUUAAAUAAUUUUCAAUUUCAAUAAUAUUUUGAUAUUUUUGUAAGUAUAUAAAAAAAUAAUUUAUUGUAAGUCAUUAUUAAUAUUUAAAUAAUUUUAAAAAAAUUAAUAUUAAUUAUUUGUAAAAUUUAAUUUGAAUAUAUAAAUUAUAUUUUAAAUAUUAAAAAUAUAAUCAUUAUAAAUGUAGAUAUAUAAUGUUAUAUAUUUGAAAUAAAUUUUGUAUACUCAAUAUAAAUAUUGCAUAAAAUAAAUUGGAUUAAAAGUAAAGGUUUAAAAUAUUUUUUUUUUUGACUUAAAAAGUGCUUUUUCGGAACAUAAAAACUAAAAAAAAGCGUUUUUAUUUUUGGGUUUAAAAAUACUUUUAACUUAAAAGCUGUGUGUUUAGCAUUGUUUGUUACUUCAAAAAAAAAAAAUCCUUUUAACAAAAAUAAAAAAAAAACAAAAAAAAACUUAAGUUUCAUUGAACUCUAAAACGCUUUAAUGGGAUAUGCAUAUACAUAGUAUACACUAAUUAGCUUCGCGAGAUAUGUCACCUCGCCAUUUGGGGGGCGAUUCUUGCCCUCGAUGUCGAUCGUUUCUAUUUUAGUGUUGUGAUAGAAUUUAUGAGAAGUAUUGUUCUUAAAAAUUUGAGGAAAAAUCUUGAUGCUCCAUCGAUAAAUGCCAUUAAUGAAGUACUGAACAUGUAUGGAAAUAAGGAUAAUAAGUAUCAUAGUCAAGAUAGUCAAUAUGUGUUUGAUUUACAAUACGUUUUUUUUGUUUAAUUGUGGGAAUAUUGAAUUGGUGUGAGCUGCAUUUUUUUUUUUAUGUUUAUCGUACUAAUUAUUGAUAUAAAAAUAAAAAGUGAUUUAUUUGGUGGAUCAAAAGCUGUAAGUGAUUUAGUUGAAGAGGAGGGACUAUAAAGAGUUAAUUUGGAAGAAACUUUGAAAAAGAGAAAUUGAUUCUCUAAAUUCUGAGAAAGUAUUUAAGGAAAACAUUCAUAUGCUACAUGUUUUUAUAUGAUUAGUGAGAUGGUUAAUAGUGAGUGUUUUGUUAAAUUGACUAAGAGACUUAGGGUGGGUUUGGAUGGAUGAUUGGGUGCGGUGCGUUUAACUUACUUUUUGUCUCACAAUACAGUAUCUAAUCUCACCGCUGUUUUUACACUAACCGUAGGUAAACGCACCGCUCAUCUAAACACAUCCUUAAUGUAUAGAUUGCAGGGUAGUGAUGUGAUGGCACUCUUAUUGCAGUGGUUGGGCUUGGAAUGGCAUGAUACUUGGCUAUAUUGGAGCAUGGUGAAGCCUCUAAAUAUAUGUAAUGGUUUCUUAGUAUUUUUUAUUAAACAAUAUACUUUUAUAAUCUAAAAUAUAUAUUUUUAUUUUUAGUUAAAUCAGAAUCGAUCUAACUUAUAAUAAAAAUCAAUUAAUCUUAAAAAUAAUUAAAUAAUUAGAAGAAUAAAAUAAUUAGUUUUUUAGAACAAAAAGAAGUUGAAAGUGUUCAACGGAGAAUAAUAAUAUUAAGUAAUUAGAUAAAAUAAAUAAAAAUAAUAUUAAUUCAUAAAAUAAAAACUAUUGAAUAUAAAAUAAUAAUCAUUAAACAUCUCAAAUAAUAACGAAAAUUAUAUUUUUUUCAGUGAUGAAAAUAAAACCUAUUAAAUAAUGCUAAAACAUGAUUUUUCUAAUAAUUUUGUAUAUGUUAUUUUGAAUAAAAAUGACUUGAUAAUAUAUAUAUUUAUAGUGCUAAAUAUUAGUAUUAAUUGGUAUAUAAUUAUAUUGCUAAUUAUUAAGUGAUAAUAAUUAUUAAAUUGAUAAUGAAAACAUUAUAAUUAUUUUAUAUUAAUAAUUUUUUAUGAAUAUAAUUUUGUGUUUAAGAUUUAAUAGAAACACUAUUAAUAAAAUAUUUAUAAUUAUAAUGAUUUUUUAUAUUAUGUUAUUGAUUUUCUAGAUUUAAAUAAGUCGAGAAGUAUAGAUAAUAAAAAUACAAAAUUUUAAGUGAUAAAUUUCCUUUAUCUUAUUUUCUCAAAUAGAUACGAGUCAUACUAUUCAUCGAGUUUGAACUUACCUUAAAUUGAACCAAUAUGAUUAGAUGCAAUUAUUAUUUAUAAAAGAAAUUAUUUUAUUUAAUUAAAAUGUGUUUAUUUUUUUUUGAGUUUUGACAUAUAAAUUAAGAAUAAAUAAAUAUAUAUAUUUACAUAUAUAUUAUAGAUUAGAUUAUCAAUAUAUUAAUAUUGUCUUAUAUAUAUAAUGUUUAUCUCACACAUUUAAUUUUUUUAAUUAUAAAAAUUGUUUUCGAACAUUAUUUAUUAUUAUAUUCAAAAUAAAUUCAUAUUUAUUUACAAAAAUUAUAUUUAAUUAAUUAAAAAACUUAAAUUUUAUUAUUUUAAUUUAUCUAACUAUAUUGAAUGAUUUUAUAGAUUUAUAAUUUUAUUAAUUAAUAAUAUAUUAUGUUUUUAAGUAGAUAUUUUAAAAUCUAUGACCAAAUUAAUUAAUUUUAAAUUAAUAUACUAUUAUAUUAAUUAAUUUUUUUAUUAUCACGUAAUAAUAUUAAUAAAUUAUUGUUCUAAUAUUAAUUUAAUAAUAUAAUUAACAAUAAAAGGUAUUUUUAUCGAUUCAAAAAUUUCUAUGCUUUUAUAUAUAUAUAUUAUAAAUUAUAGAUUAUAGAUAUAUUGUAGAUUAAAGUUUAUGAAAAGUGUAGACUGCAAUUAUUGUUCACAGAUCGUGUGGCUUGUUUGGUCUGAUAAGCUCGGCAUAUCUUUAGUGGAGUUUUAUUAAGGAAAUUUUAUCUUGAACUAGCGCCCAACCUAGUCACAGUUAAAAUAAAUAAAUUUAAAAAUAUUUUAAUUUAAUUUAAUUAUAAAAUAUAAAAAUAAAAUUAUUUUUUUAAAAUAGUGAAACAUGUAGUUGAACCCAAAUUCAAACCUCUAAAUAGGUGAAAAGUAAAAUAAAAAAGAAAGCAAGAAGAAACUUGUCAAAAUCUUAUUGCCCUCCAUAUUGCUUUGAUCUUAGUAGUUCACCUAUAAAUAGCUUAACCAAGCCAAAAAUAAAUGUACUUGUUAAUCAUAUAAUUAAGAAAAAGAAGAAGUUUCCAUGGCACUACUACAACCCACUUCUCUAGUGUUCACUGUAGAAAGGCAGGAACCGGAGCUCAUCGUCCCUGCUAAGCCAACCCCUCACGAGUGUAAGUUGCUGUCGGACACCGACGACCAAGCUGGUCAUCGUUUCCAAAUUCGAGGGCUCCAUAUUUAUCGGAACAAUGCUUGCAUGCAAGGAAAGGACCCAGUUAGGGUUAUAAGAGAAGCACUUGCGGAAACCCUGGUGUUUUUUUAUCCAUUUGCUGGUAGAUUGAAGGAAGGGCCGAACCGGAAGCUUAUGGUGGAUUGUAGCGGUGAAGGUGUACUGUUCAUUGAGGGUGAUGCUGAUGUUACACUUGAGGAUUUCGGCGAUUCACUUCACCCACCAUUUCCAUGUUUCAAGGAGCUUCUUUAUGAACUCCCUGCCUCCAUUGAUUUGCUAAAUUCUCCGCUGCUACAAAUUCAGGUAUUUCAAAAACAUUAAUAAGACAAAAAUAUCAUUUUUAUUAGUUUAAAAAAAUAUUGUUUUAGAUCAUUUCUUAAUUAACUUAGUAUCUAGGUUAACUCAUAAAACUAGUUAAACGAGAAUAUCAUAAUACAUAGCCAUUUAAAAUAUGCCAUAAUCCUUGUUUUUUUAAAAAUUUUAAAAUUUAAUCCUUAUAUUUUUAUUUUUCAAAAUUAAAGUUAAUAUGUUAACAUUGUUAUUUCUUUUUUGUUAAAUUUGUUGUUAUGACAUUUUGAAAUAAAUGAAAAUAUUCACUUGGUAGUCAUGUAAUUAAAAAAAUGACGUUGUAAUAAACUUAAAUUUAACAAUAUUAAUAGUCGAACCUCGAUUUUGAAAUAUGAAAAAUAGAUGGACUAAAUUCCUGGAAAUGAAAGUAUAAGAACUAAAUUUCAAAUCUUUUAAGAGUAUAGGGAUUUAUGACAUAUUUUGACUUAGAUAGUUCGAUGAUGAUGAUGAUUAUCUAUAAUUAUAUGAUAUGUUCGCCUAAAUCGGUAUUACAAGUCAACUCGACAUCAAUUCAAUUAGGAAAAUUACUUAAAACCUAAAUUUUUAAAUAAAAAAUUAAAAAUAAGAUAUCUAAAAAAUGAAACUAAGCAUAAAAAAUUUCAUUUAUAAAUAUUUUACAACUACCUAUAAUUCAUUUAGUGAAUAAUAUUUUAUAAAUAUAAUUUAAGGGAAUAAAUUAAAUUAAUAUCAUUUUAAAAUAUAUAAUUUGUAGGCACCAAUAAAAUAGUGAAAGAUUAUUAAUUUUUAAAAAGAAAGUAAAUUGAAAGUUAGAAACUAUCGGGGUAAAAACAUAUAACAAAAAAUAAAUUUGAAAAUUCCGGAAUCAAAAUUUAAAAAAAUAAAAAAUUCAUAAGCAAACAACUGAAAAUUGUAAAACUGAAGAUUAAAAAUAGGGGUGAGCAAAACUCGAUUCAACUCGAAAAAAUUGAAAAAAAAUUCGAAUUUCGAGUUAAACGAAUCGAGUUAUUCGAAUCAACUCGAAUUUUUUUUCGAAUUUCGAGUUCGAAUCGAGUUGGGUUUUCGAAUUCGAAUAAUUCGAAUAUCAAACUAUAAUAUUUGACAGUUUUACCCUAAACUCCCAAACCUUUUUACUUUUCCCUCAAAACUUUUACUCCUUCCCACUUUCCCCCCAAAACUUUUACUCCCCUCCCCUCCCAACCCCUCCAAUCUAUCCAAAAUCCAUUUCCCACCAAAAUUUUACUCUCCCAUUUACUUUUUCUCAAAAUUUUACUCCCCAAAACCCUCAAAACCUUUUAUUUUCUCUCAAAAUUUUUACUCCUUCCCACUUUUCCCCUAAAACUUUUAUUCCUUUUCCAUCCCACCUCCCACCUCCCAUCUACCCCAAACCCUCCCCCCUCCAUUUUUUUUUUAAUAUUUUCCCUCCAAAAUUUUACUCCCCUUAUUUACUUUCCUUCAAAUUUUUAUUCCCCAAAACUUUUUAUUUUCCCCCUAAACUUUUACUUCUCACUCUUUACUCUCAAAUAAAAAAUCAAAAUUAUCCAAAAAAAAUCACUAAACAUAAAUAGUAAUAAUUUUAUUUAUAUUUACUAUUUAUAUUAUUAAAUUAAAUUUCACAUUUUAUAUUAUUUAUAUUAUUGAAUUUUUUAGUCAUAUUGAAUAUUUAUAUUAAAAUUGAAUUAUUAAUUAUCCCAUAAAAUAUUCGUGUUAAAAUUUUAUAUUGGUAUCAAUUUCACAUUUUAUUUUUGAAAUAAUUUUAUUAAAAAAAUCAUAUUUUUACAUUUAAUAUAUUUUUUAAUUCCAAAAUACAUAGUGACAAGAAUCUGAAGAUAAUUGAAACAACUAAGCAAGCAAAUAAACUAAUCAGUAUAUAAAAAAUUAAUAAAUAAAUUAUGAGGUGAUGAAAGUUAAUAAAAAAUUUGAUUAAGGUAGACAAAUUUUAUUACGAUGGGUGACAACGGUUACAAGGACCCAAAAUUAUUUUUUUAAAAUUUAACUCGAACAAAUAUAUUCGAUUCGAUUCGAUUCAAAUUCCAUCUCACUCGACUUGAUUCGAGAAAACUUCAAAUAAAGUUAGGAUGAUAAAAUGAGAUUCGAAAACUCGAUUAACUCGAAAAUUUUUUAUUCGAUUCGAUUCGAUCGAAUGCUCACCCCUAAUUAAAAAAAUGGGUAGUAUAAAAUUGAAAAUAAAUAAAUUACAUGUUAUCCAACUUCGUAUUUGUUAAAAAAGAAAAAGAAAAAAACUACCUAAAAACUAAUAAAUUAAAAAAGAAGAUGAUUAAAUUUUAAAAACUAAAAAUGAUAUAAAAUAAGAAAAUAUGUUUGCUUAUUUUUCAAAAUUUGAUUUAAAAAAUAAUUAAAAUUAAAUUAAAUUAAAUUUGAGAAGAUAUCUUUUAAAAAUUGAUGACUUAUCAAUUUAGUCCUUAUCAAUUAAUAUUAAUUUUUUCUUUUAGACAAAACCUAGUUAUUAUUUACGACAAUUUAAUAGGUGACACGCUUCAAAUGCGGAGGUUUCAUCUUUGCCCACCGAUUUAACCACACCAUGAGCGAUGCUGUUGGUCUAAUUCAAUUCAUGUCCACCAUGGGUGAAAUGGCACGAGGCGCGGUGGCUCCCUCAAUCCCCACCAGUUUGGGAAAGGCACCUCUUGAAUGCUCGAGACCCCCCGCUCAUAACAUGCGCUCACCUCGAGUACGAUCAUGACAAGGCCGCCACCGGCACAAUCAUGCCAACAGACAACUUGGUUCAUCGCUCUUUCUUCUUCGGACCAACUCAAAUUUCAGCUCUUAAAAGAUCUAUCCCCGACAACCUCCGUUGUUCAGCGUUUGAUAUCUUAACAGCAUGCAUAUGGCGUUGUCGUACAAAAGCCUUGGAACUUGGCCCCGAUGAAGAUGUUCGGUUCAUCUGCAUAGUCAAUGCAAGGUCCAAAUUCGACCCGCCUUUGCCAUUAGGGUAUUACGGGAAUGCACUUGGGUACCCCGCCGUUGAAACAACCGCGGCAAAACUAUGCCAAAAUCCAUUAGAAUAUGCAAUAAAGCUAGUGAAAGAGGCCAAGGGAAAGGUGACUGAAGAGUAGAUGAAAUCAACGGCGGAUUUGAUGGUGAUUAGAGGACGACCGAACGUUAACACGGUUCGAUCCUUGAUAGUGUCGGAUUUGAGUCGAGCUAGGUUCAGGGAGGUUGAUUUUGGGUGGGGUAAAGCAGAGUUUGGUGGGCCAGCCAGUGGUGAAGAGGUUAUAAGCUUUUAUAUACCUUCAAAGAACAAAGAAGGAAAGGAAGGGAUUACAGUCCCAGUAUGCUUGCCUGCUCCACACAUGGACAGCUUUGUUAAGGAGAUAAACCGAAUGCUGAAAGACGAUGAAGCAACUGGAGGUUAGACUGGUGAUUCUGGCAUCGGAUUUGUAAAAUAAUUACUUGAAGAUCAUAGAUGUGAUAAAAAAAGAAAAAGAAAAAGAGUUUCAGUAUUGUUAAAAAAGAUUUGAUUUGUAAUAUGUCUGGGUUGAGAAGUGAGUGUGGUUUGUGAUUUCUAAAUAUAUGGUAUUUGCCGUACGAUGAAAGAAGUGUUGAAAUAUUUGUAUAUUUAAAAUAAUACCCAUCUGUUGGAUGCAAUCUGUAAAAUCUGCCCAAACUACAAAAUGAUGUUACCAGAUCCGUUGGUAAAAGACAAAAAUUAGACAAAUUGGAGGGGGUAAUAUUCCAUCAAGGCUUGAUGUAAACGCCAAAUGCUAUAGUAAGCAAAACAAUAGAGAAAUAGUGGCCAACGAAUUAGGAUCGAAUGCAUCCAACCAAGUCUUUGUCGUGCUUCAAUAAUUACGAAAAAAAAUGUAAAUGUAAGAAUAGUCAACCCUUCAAUUCAUUCUAUUUUAAUCGCUUAAUAAUUAAUUUUUUUAUUUUAAUCAAAAAUUAAAUAUUUUAGUCUUUUUUUCAUUAGUUGCCUAACAAAAGUCUAACGUGCGGUUUGUUUUAUUGGCCUAAUAAUAAAAUUUAGCUCUCUAAUGUUUAUACAUUCUACCAAUUUAAUCUAAAAUCUAAAAAAAAUUAACAAAUUUAGCCCCAAUAUUUAUAUGAUUUGACAUUUUAGUCCUAGUUAUAAAAAUUGUAAAGAAAUUUAUAAAUUCUUAAAAAUUUAAAAUUUAAAAAGUAAAUAUAAAUUAUAAAAAAUUUAAAAUUUUCAAAAAGUAAAAACAGAAGUAUUUUUAAGAUUUUGUACCCAAAUGACUUUCAAUAGAAUCUUCCAUUUUAUUCUUUCUUUCAUUCAAAUGAUGAAGUUAAGAACAUCAAAUAUUGGACUUUUUUUUAUAAAACUAACCUAAAAAAAUUAAUUAAUUACGUAAUGACCUAUUUUUUUGAUAAAAUAUGUAAAUAAUCUAAAGUCUGCAGUAAAAAUUGAUGGAGCUAAAGUGUUUGGCGCCACCUGUAUAAAUAUUAGGGAAAUACUGUGAUUUUUAAAAAAAUAGGGGGCUUUAAACAAAAUUUUGUUUUUCUGGUGGAGCCAAAUAAUUUGGUGCCACUAGACUCCAACGCUUGUGCUACCUUUUGUCCUUUUUUUGUUUUUUGUUUUAUUUUUUUAAUUUGUGUUUUUGAAUUGUUUAUUAUUUAUUUUAUAAUAUUUUAAUUGUUUUAUAAUAUUUGUUUAUUCAAACAUGUUUUUUUAAAUUUUUUUAUUAUUAUUUUUAUAAUAUUUUAAAUGUUUUAUAAUAUUUUUUUAUUCAAACAUUUUUAAAAUAUAUAUUUAAAAUUAAAAAAAUAUUUUAUUUGGUGGAGUCAUUUAGAAUGACUCCACCACUUUAUUGCAAGUUAAUUUUUUUUAAAAAUGUGUUUUGUAAUAUAAAAAUUUAAAAUGUUGGUUGUGUGUUUUUUAAAAUUUAAAUAUAAUUUAAAAAAAAUAUUAUAAAACAUUUAAAAUAUACAUUUAAAGAAUUAUAAAAAAAAUAAUAAACAAUUAAAAAAACCAAUUUAAAAAAAACCGUUUGAAUAAAUAAAUAUUAUAAAACAUUUAAAAUAUACAUUUAAAAUAUUAUAAUACAAAUAAUAAACAAAUAAAAAAAUGCGUUGGAUGGAAAAUUUGUUUAAAGCUUCCUCUAUUUUUUUUAAAAAUCGUAGUAUUUCCUUAGUAUUUAUAUAGGUGGCGUCAUUCUAUAUGGCUCCACAAAAAAAAGUGAUUUUUUAUCCUGAUUGCUGACGUGGCAUGUUGGUGGUGUCAAACACUUUGGCUCCAUCAACUUUUACGGUAGAUUUUAGGUUAUUUACGUAUUUUAUCAAAAAAAUAAGUCAUUUACAUAAUUAAUUAACUUUUUAGGUUAAUUUUAUUAAAAAAAAACCCAAAUAUCAUGGCCUUGAUCUGCAAUCUCCCUCCAAUGCUUGAGCUAGAAGUGAUAAGACAUGAGAACAUUAGAGCUUGAAACUGUUACUAUUUUAGUAGCAAAAAGUAAAGCCUUUGGAGUUGAUGUCAUCAGCACAACCAUUUUUUUGGGUUUAUAGAUUUGUUAAUUUUGAUAUUCUUUUUGAGUUUUAAUUAGGUAUUUGAGGCAAACAAUAUACUAAAAAAAACUAAAAUAAAAGAAGUUGGAAAAAAAAUUAAAUUUUAGGUUUUUUACACGUUUGGUUGUUGGAAAAAUGAGAGAAAAUGUAAUUAUAAAUUAUAAAAAUUUAAAAAAGAAAAUAUAAAAAUAUUUUAAAGAUAUUAUGAAUAUAUUUUAUAAUUUUUAAAAUUGUUUUAAAUUUAGGAUUAAAAUAAUACAUGCGUUGUUACCCUUAAAAAAAGUUAAUAUAUAAAUCCCUCUUUCCUUCCCUUCCCUUCCCCUGUUCUAAGAACACUCUCAAACGCUUUGAUUAAGAGUGUCACUACACACAUACAUACAUAUAUUUUACGCUACAUAUUUACCCUUAAUGAGUUAAUUACCUUGAUCAUUUUUAUUUGCUUAUUACUAUGAUCUUAUUUACUAUAUUAAAUUAUUACUUAUGCUAUUCGUGUAUCACUUAUAUAUUUUAGUACAAAUGCCAUAUUGUAAGUGAAGGAAAUAUAACGGUUACUAAUUGUAUCAUAAACUUAAGUGUUCCUUCUACAUUUUUUAUUUUGAUUCUGCUAUUUGAAGUUGCAAUAAUAUACUGUGAAGAAAAACAUGAUUUGGUGAGAUGGUAUUUUCCUUAGCAACAUCUUAUUUGAUGUUGAUGGUACUAAAGUAUUACUCUAUUUCUCUCAAGAAGCUGUCCAUCUUUCUUGAGACUUUGCCCCCUUGACUUUCUCCGGUUUGGAGACAUCAGUCUUAUGGUUGGGUGUCGCAGACAACACCUUUUACCCAAGACAGCCCUACGAACAACGAGCUCUCCCAUGAGCUCUUCAAUCUGUUCUUUUAAAGCUGUCAACGUGGCUUCAGUUUUUUCCUCUAUAACAAUCAUCAUAGCUUCAAGAGUAUCAUUCUUCUUCGUCAGCUUACCAACUAUAGUCUUGAGAGCCCCUUGCAUGGCAUCUAUAUCGGAGCUGGGAGCCUUUACUACCUGUCCCUUAAGUUGAUCUUUCACUGAGUUCAACUCUGUGGUGCGUCCCUUAACUACCUUGAGUGUUUCCUUCAUACCAACCACAAAUUCCUCUAGAUUAGACACUCGACCUUCCAAAGCUGAUAGCUUAUCCCUCAAUUUGCUUGCUUUCCUAGCUCUCCCCCGCAUCUCCCUUGACUCAAUCUAAUUAUCUACUUCUUUCACCAUCUUAACAGCGUCUUGUCGAACACUGACUCUUGAUACUAACUAUCAUGGAGUGGUCUUAGGCAAGAACUUAGCUUCAAAUUUGCCUAAAUCAACCUAAAUAUGGAAAAAAUGAGAAUUCACAAAGGAAAUUCUCUAAGGCAUCGAAACUUAACGGAAGCAAACACAAAAGCGGAGAAGCAAUGAACGAACAAAAAAGAAAACCACAAGAAAGCAAAUAAACACCAAGUGUUUGAGUAAUUGCUCCAAAAAAAAUUCUAUCAUUGAAUGAAUGAGUGAUUGCAAAUAAGGGGGAAUGACUUUAUUUAUAGUUGAGCUCCCUACGAUCCAACAGUACAAUUUAAAAUACAUCACCCACUAAGAUUAAAAUCUAUCUACAAGUUGAGAGUCUUAUGAGAUCUAAACACUUUAUAAGAUCCUUUAGCAUUACAAAUAUUUACCCUAGUAAAAUACAAAUCACUGGAGUGUUUAUAUAUUCACCAAACUUGAAGUAGAUGAGCCUUGAGUUUCUACAAGCAAUGGGCUAAUCUCUAUGGGCCGAUUGACCCCGAGUAAACAGGAUGAACUGUCAAAGUGUGCCUUGGUCAUGGGUUCCUUUACGCGGCUUGUGGCACUAGCAUGUACUAGAAUGUUGUCAUGUAGAAUAUUCCUAUCACCUAGGAGUGAAGAAGAAGCAUGCUUGUCUAGGUGACGAAUGAUUGAGUACUCAACCCAUCCAGCAAUGUGUGGUCUAGUACUAUACUUAUGUUCAACUUGCUUCCGCACUUUCAACCUUUUUUUUCUUUUUUUGGUAUAUCAUUUAUGGUGAGAGCCUCAGGUUUAACUGGAACACCGUUUUAUUUUUGACUUGACUGAUCCACUAUAGCAAUUCCCAUGUUAUUGUUACUUUAAUAACAAUGACUACUUUAUGGUUAGGUUUAGGUAAUGUCGUCUCUUGCUCAACGACCACCUUUUGCGGGUGUGUCUCAUCUGCCGUGGCCACUCUGUUAAUACCUUAUUAUAAUCCAGAGGAUUUGCAAACUUGACUAAGACAUAAUCAUUAUCAAGGUCAACAGGUUUCCAAAGAAGUUUGAUCCUACCAACAAGUGCUUAGUAGCCUAUAGAGCAACCAAGGAGCCUGAAAAUAGUCGUUUGCUUCAUACUCAAAUCAUGAACAAGAUCUGAAAAGUAAAUAUUAGGGUAGGGGAUGUCCAUAGAUAUAUGAAUAUCAUCAUUAUUUAAGCAAAUUUCAUCCUGGUCCAGAUAUAUAUCAUUGCCUUCCUCGGUUUCAAUAUUAGACAUCAACAUGUCCCUGAAGGAAGCCUUACUUGUUGUUUCUUUCUUCUCCUGGUCACCGCUCUCCACCCUAGUAACUUCUCUGUUUUUAACCUUCUUAGCUGCCCUUUCUAAUUCCGACGCCACAGUGGAGCUCGACCGUUCACGGCUACCCAACGGGUCAACGCAAAGUUCCGUUCCAAAGAGUUAAAACACUCUUUAAACUUAGGAUUUAUUUUUGAAAGGAACUUUAAUAAUAAUAUUUUUAGAUACAGGGAUGGGAGUAAGCAUGAGUUUUGGCCCAUUUUACUCCAAAUUUUGUGAGUUAUUGUUUACUAAUAAUGUCUCACUCAAAACGGGUAAAAGACAAUUUUAGGCCAGAAAUGAAAAUUACAAAAUUCUGGGUUUAAUCAUUUAGAGAUAAGUUUGAGCAAUAGCAACUUACAAUUCCAAGUCAAGUGAAGCGAAGUUGACUUAAUUUAAUGUAAUGGGUCGGUCAAUCUUUUGAUUUGGAAAAAGUUGAGAAAUAUCGUUGUAAAAAAAGGUUAUAAAUCUAAGUGGGGUCAAAAUAAUUUAAAACCGGCUGCCUUGAAAUUCACACCACAAUUUCUCAUCCCUUUCCUUCCCUCAACAACCCACAUUUUGUCCACCAUAUAUAAUUAAGAUAAUAUUAGACGAUAACUUGGUCACAAAGUGGGAAAUAACUAUCCAUUUCUUCCUAUAAAUACCACUCUCACAAGCACUUAAAAGCAAACCAACACUCCAUCCUUUUGCUCCUUUUGGUAUCAUGGCAACUUCCUCCACUUCCCUAGUGUUCAAGGUUCACCGACAUGAACCUGAACUAAUACCUCCGGCUAAGCCUACCCCUCAUGAAUACAAACUAUUAUCCGACAUCGAUGAUCAAGAAGGUCUUCGGUUCCAAAUUCCGGUUAUCCAAUUUUACAAAUACAAUCCUUCCAUGCAAGGAAAAGACCCUGUUAGGGUGAUCAGGGAGGCACUCGCACAAGCGUUAGUGUUUUAUUACCCGUUUGCCGGUAGGCUAAGGGAAGGAGCUCAGCGCAAGCUGAUAGUGGAUUGCAGCGGUGAAGGUGUAAUGUUUAUCGAAGCGGAUGCGGAUGUUACGCUGGAGCAAUUCGGUGAUGCACUUCAACCACCAUUCCCAUGCUUGGAGGAGCUCCUUUAUGAUGUUCCGGAUUCUACUGGGGUGUUGAAUUGCCCCGUAAUACUUAUUCAGGUACUUAUUUUACCUAUCCAUUGAUUUAAAACAUUAUGUAUAAGCUAUACUAAUUCCGUUAUUUUAAACAUCACAUAAAUAUGCAAUAUUUCUAGAAUACAUCUCAAUAUUUUGUAAACAUAAUAUUCAAAAUCAUUGAUAUCGAUUUUGAUAAUUAUAAAAUAUUAAGAGGCAGUAUGUUAACAUCAAACACACUAGGGUUUCUCCUUCCUCAUUUAUUUUUUAAAUAAUCCCAUCAAUAUCAAUGAUAGAAAACGACAAGCACAGCCCACCAAUAAUAUGUUUUCUAGUUUUAGUUGUAUGGUAUAAUACCAACUUUAAUAUUAUUUUCCGAAUACUAAACAACCUUGCAAAAUUGAAAUAAUAGAACAAAAUUAGGUGAAAGAAUUGUAUUUUAUUUUCUCCACUAAAAUAAUAGACAAAAUAGUCUUGGUACUUUAGAUUAAAGAGUAAACUGGCCUUUUGUUAAAAAUUGGUCUUUACACGUAAGUAUAAAGUAAACGUGGCACGCCACGUAUAACAAUCUGAUUGUUUUAUCAGCCACAUCAAUUUUAACAAUAUAAAUGGAUUAACACAAAAAAAAAUUAUUUCAUCUAUUCUUUUAAUAAAUAAAAUAAAAUAAAAACUAACUUUUAGUCUUCAAUAAUACUUUUGCUCAUAAAAGGAUGGUCCUCCACUUAAAUAAUUUAUUUAUGUUUUUAGACUAACCUCCACUUAAAUUAUAUGAAUGAAAGAAAAAAAAGGAAUCUUAAUAUUUGAAUCACAUUAUUUAGAAUCAUAGGACCCACAUUGACCAAAAAUUAUAAUUUGGAUGGUGGGCCCUAUCAUUGCCAUUUUUAAAUUAUAAUUUUUUUUUGUCAAAUUCCAAGACUUUUGAUAAAGGAUAAAAAUGCAUUUUUCGAAUAAAGUGUAAAAUAAUUUAUAUAAUUUUUUAUAUAAAUUAUAAAAGGCAUACGGUAAAAUUCUAACAACAACGAGAUUAAAGUUAAAAAUCAUUUAUAUAUAAAUUUGAGCUAAUAUUUAUAUCUUAUUUCAAAAUAUUGAAUAUCAUAGCAUGAACGUUAGUCUGAAAAAUAAAAAAGUGUAGGCCAAGCUAGCAAUCAAUGAGAACUGCUUUAUAUAAAGGCAGCACUAAGCACUAAUUUGGUUUGUACACCAUUAAUUUUUAGUGCUCGUGAAAUGAGCAGUGGGGUGGCCCAUCGGAAAAAAAAAUCAAUUAUCACAAUUACUAUACUGACUUAUGUACCAAAAAUAAUUAAUGUUAUGUAAACUUUUUUUUUUGCAAAUUCUUUUUGUUAAACAAAUAAUUAAACUUCAAAUCAAAUAAAUAAUAUAAUUUUUUAAAAGAUUUAUAUAUGAUUUUGAAGAUAGAUCACCCAAAUUUAAUAUUCUUGGUUAACAGGUAACACGGCUUAGAUGCGGUGGUUUUAUCUUCGCCCUUCGCCUGAACCACACCAUGAGUGAUGCUGCUGGCCUAGCUCAAUUCAUGUCUGCUGUAGGAGAAAUGGCUCGUGGUAGGCUUACCCCAUCCAUUCCACCCGUAUGGGAAAGGCAUCUGUUGGGGGCUAGAGAUCCACCGAGAGUCACAUGUAAGCAUCGUGAGUACGAAGAAGUAGAGGGAACCAUUGUCCCCUACGAUGACAUGGUCCAUCAGUCCUUUUUCUUUGGCCCCACGGAAGUCUCAGCACUUCGCAAACUUGUGCCAAAACACCUUCGUAAGUGUUCAACAUUUGAGCUAUUGACUGCUUGUUUAUGGCGUUGUCGAACCAUCGCAAUUCAAGCUAAUCCCGAGGAAGAGGUACGUAUUAUAUGCAUCGUAAACGCACGUUCCAGGUUUAAUCUUCCAUUACCUUCGGGGUACUAUGGGAAUGCAUUCGCGUUCCCAGUGGCAGUAGCACAAGCAGGGAAACUUUGUCAAAACCCAUUAGGGUAUUCAUUAGAGCUGGUGAAACAAGCAAAGAAUGAUGUAACAGAAGAAUACAUGAAAUCAUUAGCAGAUUUAAUGGUGAUUAAGGGUCGACCACAUUUCACGGUUAUUCGAUCUUACCUGGUGUCGGAUGUGACACGUGCCGGGUUUGAUGAUGCGGAUUUCGGGUGGGGCAAAUCAGUUUAUGGUGGUCCAGCUAAAGGUGGAGUAGGGGCAAUACCUGGAGUAGCAAGUUUUUUAAUACCAUUCAAGAACAAGAAAGGAGAGGCUGGAAUUGUGCUACCAAUUACGUUGCCAGCCCAAGCUAUGGAAAUAUUUGUGAAAGAAUUAGAUGGCAUGUUAAAGGGAAAGCCAAUAGAACGUAAACCCGGUUUCAUUUCAUCUUCCUUGUAAAAUUAACAAGUGAAAAUCUAAAGUUCAGCAUUGGUAAGGUAGUUUAUAAGUCAUCUUUAGGCGUGGCACUCCUUUUAUAUGUUCACUAUCUUGUAUAACUAUAUAUAUUUGGUAUGCAUGGCGUGUAAAAUAUUUCAUACUUGUAUUUUUACAUUUUAGUGGAAGAAUUAUUUUCGAUGCUUGACAAGUUUAAAAAUCUAGUUUUUUAAAGAAACUGAAGAAAUUUUGACGAACACCAUAAGUUUUGAAAAAAGUCACCUAUCGAUCCAAUUCAACCAAGGAGAAGAAGCCAAAAAUUGUAACACCCUAAAUCUGACCUAGAUGUCCAGACCAAGUCCAGAGAGUUACAUUGUCAUUAUUAGGAAAACCACAUUUGUAAACGCAGUCAAAAUGAAAUCAUUCAACAUUUUAUAACUAUUACAGUAAUUAACUAAAUAUUUAAUCUUCCCAAACAUCAUAAUAUCAGAUAAAGCUGAAAUUACUAAUAGUAAGAUUUAAAGAAAAGAUAAUCGGAUUGACCGAGCUCCCGCAGCACCGAUUUGUUCAAGUUUGAGAGCCACCUGAAAUCCAAUCAACGACGAAAUGAGUUGUAAACCCAGUGAAUAAAAGACAUCCAUUCAAUUAAAACACAUUUAUAAGAUAAUUCUCAAAUUCCAACAUUCAGUUAAAUAACAUAAGCAGUUCCAGUUUCAGAUACAUAUGCAGUUAUUCCUACCCCCAUUCGCUACACACCAUCUCCGGCCAUCCCAACACACCGUUAAGGGUGUUUAAUGCCCAACCAACCCUACACACUAUAAAGUGUCUGUCCAACACGUUUACAGAGAUGUAGGCUAGCUGCUAGAUCAAAAUGCAACAAACGCCAGAUUCAUAUAUACACAUCAUGGCUUUGCCACUGAUUCAGAGCAGAUUACUUCCACCUUCACAAUAUCCCAACCCAUGCAAAUGCAGAUUACAAAUAUCAACAAUAUGUGUUCAGUCAUUCCGAUUCAAUUCUUAAAUAGAUAGUACAUAUCAAUAUCAUUAAUAGCCAUCAUAGUACACAUACACUUAUAUAGUCCAUAUCUCAAUCUUAGAGCAUCUGAUAGACCUCGUACAAUAAAAUUCAGAUCAUAAAUACAUUGUGGAGGUCAGUGCUCAUGUUAGACAACAUUCACGACCUCACAAAAUAAAGUUCGAACCCUAUUUAUAUGCCACACGCCCGUAUGCAUGCCCAUAUGGCUUACACGGCCUAACACACGCCCGUGUCGUCUGCUUGUGUGGUUCAAAAUCGUAAACAAUGAGUCACACGGCCUAGCCACUCGCUCGUGUCCUUGCCCGUGUGGCUCACACGGCCUGACACUCGCCUGUGUCAUCUGGCAUUGUAGGUCUAAAUCUUAAUCACUGAGUCGCACGGCUUGGACACAUGUCCGUGUCCUUGCCCAUGUGACUCACACAGCCUGGGCACACGCCCGUGUCCCUGGCCAGUGUGGUCCUUAUUUUCAACUCAGUGAGUUACACAGCCUAGACACACGCUUGUGUCAUUUACCUGAGUGAACCCUGCACUAACAUGGCGACACAUAGCCUAGACAUACGUCCGUGUCCCUUGCCCAUGUGGCUUGAAUUCGGUGAACAGUGAGUUACACGGCCAACCAUAUGGCCGUGUAGUGUCGAUAGCUAUGUUUUUGGCGUUUGAAAUUCGUAAAAACAGGGGUUUUCGGUACUCACCUAAAGAGAUUUUGAAGUAAUAACAAUGUAGAGGAUCUCCGAAGCCGAAAAUUUAAUGGUGACCACUAGAAUUGACAUGUUUUUGUUCACUACUUCUGAUAUUUCCGCCUAAAUAGGAAAACAACCAAUCGUCUAUCAACAAUUCUCACAAUACACUCAACACCCAAUUCAGAGCAAGUUACGAAGAAUAAAGGGGAAAACUAUGAAAACAAAUGAAUUGACAGUGACUUACUUAAUAGCCUUUUGAUCGAUGUGAUUUAUAGAGUAUAAUUUUGACUAGACCCGUAUCUACUUACGAUGACAAUUAGAAUGAAGAAAAUAAAAGAACUGAAAAAGAAAAAGAAAGGAAAGGAAAGAAACGAUAGAAAGGAAAAAUAAAAUAAAAUAAAAUAAAAAAAAGAUGAUGACAAAUUAAAGUUUUAAUAACUUCCUAUCAAAUUUCUAACACUUAGAAAAAAUGAAUGUUCCCUAUCGCAUACUCCGGGAUUCAAUCACAGGACCAAAUAGAAUACUGACACUUAACUAUUGAGGUUUACAGUAAAUUAACUUAAUUAUGCAUCUCUAGGAUUGAGGUUGCUUAAAAUGGACUAGAAAAAUUCUAAGGAUUUGACUCGAACUCUUGACCUCGAUCUCACAAGCAGAGCACAUAACCACAGAUACAGGAACUUAAUUACAACAAAAUCCAACUUUCAAAUCAUCAAAUUUUGGGGCGUUACAAAAACCGUUUAUGAAAAAAGCUGCCUUUCAAUCUAAUUCCACUAAAGAAAGUAGGUGUAAACUCGUUUUCAAGAUCAAGUAUCGACAACCUUGAAGCAGACAUUAUUGAUUCAAGAUCUAAUAUCAACAACUUUUAAAUUCAAAUAAAAUCAAAUUCUCAAAAAAAAAAUCUCAAUCAAAUUUAACUUCAAAAUUAAGUCUUGACCCUUGAAGCAAAGAGCAUCUUUCUAAAAUUAAAUCUAGAUGACAGUUAUUUUGAAGCUCAAGAUGAAAAAUCAAAAUUUUUUUCUUUAUAAUUAAAAAAUUAAAAAAAUAUACUCCUUUCAAAAUUAUAAAUAAAAUCUGACUUCAAGUUUUAACUUAAUUUACUAUUCAAAUUUUGUGUACAUUACCAUAUGCCAUCAAAUACAUGGGAUAGUUGUAAUGAAGACGAUGACAACAAUGAUGCCAUUUAUCAAUCCUAUACAAUUUAAUUAAGAGUUAAAUAUAAAAUUGGUAUUGAACUUGUCUUAAAUUAAUAUUUAAAGUUUUUUAUUUUAGAUUGAUAUUUAAACUUUUUUUUCCGUCAAUUAUUAGUAUUCGAAUCUAACUGAAACAGGUGGCAGUAUCAGACAAUAACACCUGUCAUUAGUGACAUCAUGGUGAUGUAAUUAUUUUCCCUUUCUUUCAUUUUUCUUUUUUUUUCUAUUUUUUACCCUUCCACUUUUUCUUUCUGUCUUCUCUUUCCCCCAUUUUCUCUUUUUCUUGUCUCAUCUCCACUGCCGUCAUCGUUGUUGAUAUGAACUGCACUCUUCGGUAUGAGCAAUCACCGUCACUGUCACCGUCACCGUCUUCUUUUCUUUUUUCAUUUUCCCUCUGUUUCUUCCCGUUUGCUUUUCUUCUUAUUCUUUUUCCUACCCAGAUUUUGUUGAUUCUAGAGAACCCAAAUUUUGUUCGAUAGAGAGUUGUAGCCUGUAGGGAGAUUAUCGCCGCUAUCUACGGUGGUUUCACAGUGGCAGAAUUUUGUACAGGCGAUUAAGGAGAGAGUUAAAGUGAACAUGGCACAGAAAAUGAAUCUGUAAAAUGGCGAGGCUUGGCCAAAAAUUAGAGACGGAGUCAUCGGAAUUUGCAUCGUUGUGGCUGUUGGAGAUAGAUUCUGCAUCACCAAUGAAAAAAUGAAAAAGAAAAUAGGAAUAAUGAACUGAUUAAGUUUAACCGAUUCAUUGCAAGAAAUUUUGUAUCUCAAAAAUUAUUGUAUUAAUUUGAAAGGGGAGUCACUUGAGGCAAAGGGAAUACCAUGGCUUUCUUUAUAAUCUUACGUUUUGUGCUUUUUAUCUUCAUGUCUGCAUCUUUACUUUCAAUCGGAGUUAAAAUCAAAAUGAGCAUAAAAGUCCAAAUUUGUAGCAGAUUAAUUGGUUGUUCCAAGCUGUUUUAUGUUACCCCCCCAAAGUUUGUUGAACAAAAAUGGUUGGUUGUAAUAUGCUAUUUUUACUGAAUAAUUAGUGCCUCAUUGCUUGGAUUUCUUUCGGCUGACAAAUGGGGUGGGUUCGAAACAGAAGAAAAUCACAGUGCACUUCAAUUUUUGAACCUUAAUUCCCAAUCUCCCCUCUCGCUUCUUAGCAAGAAUGGCCUCCAAAUUACCAGACGAAUCACCAUGCAAUGCGCACGGAACAAACAAAGGAAGCAUCGUGUUCGGGAAGAAAAUGAAAAGGGAACUAACCCAAAUUUGUAAAAUAAAAAAUAUAUUUGUUAAAAACCCAUCCAUUCCAACCGAUGCUCAACCCCAUGGGUUCCUCCAUUGACAGUCCAAAAAAGGAAGAAGGGAAAAACUCCCCAAAACAAUACCAGAAUCCUUAUAUGAUAUUAUCCUCUUGACAUGGAUGAAAGUUUGAGAGCGGCUGCUCAUACCGAAGAGUGGCGGUUCAUAUCAAUAGCAAUGACAACAGUGACGAUGAGGCAAGAAAAAGAGAAAAUGGAGGAAAGAGAAGUUAGGAAGAAAAGGGGGGAGGGAACGUGAAAGGAAAAUUGGAAGGGUAAAAAAUAGAAAUGGAAAAUAAUGACAUCAUCAUGAUGUCACUAAUGACAUACUGUCACCUGUCCUAAAGUUAACUGUGUGUUAGACUCGAGUACCAAGUCGGCAGAAAAAUGUUCAAGUAUUAAUUUAAGACAAAAAAAAAUUUAAGCACUAAUUUGAAAAAAAUAGACAAAUUCAAGUACCAAUUCUAUAUUUAAUCCAUUACUUAAUGAUUACUAUAACUUUUCAAGACAAAGUUACAUUACUUUAUUCGAAGAAAACAAACAUUAUAUGUGUAAUAACCCAGUUUUGCCCGGCCCAUUCAAAAUAAGACCAACCCAAAAUCAUAACACUGCCCAAAUUAAAUACAAUUAAAUCCAAUAAAACUUGGGCCAAGCUUAACCCAAUUACAGGGCCCAAUUAACCCACUAGCCUAAAACACAAAACAGAGAAACCUAGCAGCAAUAUCAGCAGCCGCGACAACCUCACCCACGCCUCAACAUCGCCCCACGUUCAGCACUUUGCGCACGUCCUCCACGACUUUCAUACAUGCGAAAAACUAAUCCAAACGGCAAUAGAUGUAAAAAUAAUAGAAUAGAUUUUUAUUUAUUGUUUAUUAUUAUUAUUUGGGGGGAUAUAAAAGGGUGAUUUCAAUUUGUAAAAGGGGGUGAGCAAUAUUGUAUGAAAAAAACAUUAAAGAAAAUACGAAAAUAAGGAAUCAAAAAGGCAAAAUUUUGAAGGUAAUUGUUCUGUUCUUUUUUUCUUUUUAUUUGUUUUUCCUUUUUCAUUUUCUAUUUUUGUUGAUUAAAACAAAAGCGGAAGAAGGAAAUAGAGGAGGACUUACAGUCGCAUACGGCGUUGAGGGAUCUUCAUUCCGCCGUCGGAAUGGGUGGAUCUGGAGUGGAAGAAAAGGGAGGCUGCGGCAAACUCAAAAAUGGCAGAGAAAGGGAAUGGCUUUAGGGUUUUAAAAUGGGAUUUUAUAAGGGUUCAAAAGGGGCCAUUUGCGCGAUUGGUCCUUUGCUUUUUGGGG
rnacentral:lncRNA from 1 species